UCUUUUUUUUUUUUUUUAUUUUUAUGGAAUUAUGUUAUAGUUAAUUACUUUAUGGAUUUAAGUUUUUAAUAAGUUGUCUCCAAUUCUUCAUUCUUUUGUAUGCUCACAUUUUAUGUGGAGGGAACUUACAAGCUACUGUGACCAGUGACUAAGAAAUUGAACCACUGGGUAUCCACAUAAUAUUACUUUGAUAGAUAGUAGUUUAGACGUCUUAGUAAUUUGUCACUUAAUUUUAAUUGAAACUACUCUAUGACCAUUAUUUUUUUUUUAAUCUUUUUAGUGAAAAUAUUUAAUUUUUUUCUUCAAUCACAUUAUAAUUGUAAAAAACCGAGAAAAUCGAAAUAACCCGACUAAAAUUAAAAUUAAAAAAUCGAUUGUAUAUUGGUUUGAUUUGGUUUAUAGAUUUAGAAAACCGACAUUAUUAAUUUUGUUAUAUUUUAAUGAAAAACCGAGUCAACCCAACCUAUGUACACCCCUACAUAUCAGUCCACUAUCCUAGUUAGGUUGAACUCCAAAUCUGUAUCUUGUUCACUAUUUCAUUGGAAAUAAAUUGGAUAACCAACAUAAAUUCCUACAGUUUAAAAUUUAACUACAGAAAAUUCUAACAUUUUACAUAAUUACUGAAACUCACGAUUUUGAAUCUGUUGAGAUACAUAAUUAGCUUCCGGGAUAUUCAAUGAAGAUACAUUUUUUCCUUUGUAAAGAUACAUAAUUAGAUCCCUUUGCAUUUUUUUUUCGAUUUGGAUAUGUCGAGAUACGUAAUGCAUCCAAUAAAGAUACAUUUUUUUCUUGUAAAGAUACAUAAUAAGCUUCCGAUUUUUUUUUUCUAAUUUUGAAUUUGUUGAGAUACAUAAUUAACUCCUCGAUACAUUCAAUGAAGAUACAUAAUUAGUUGAAAUUUUUGUAAUUACUUUGUGAGAAUGAAGAUUUGUGUAAAUAUGAUAAGUUAAGUUGUAUAUUUAUGUUAUCAUAGCAAAUAAAUUAGGAUGUGUGUUGGUGGACGGGAGUACGAGAGUUAAUCCUAUAAUUUGAAGCUAAAGCUGAAUGAUGUUAUAGAGAACGUAUAAUUAUAACAUAACACGAAAAUUGUUUCAUGUAAUAAAAAUAUUGUUUACAAAAAUAUAAUUAUAACAUAACAUGAAAAUCAAUUCAUGUAAUGAAAUAUUGUUAUAAAAGAUGAUGUUAUAGAAGUCUAUUUUGAAAAAGAAGGUAACAAAAUGCAUGCAAGUUACAUGCUCUUUUUCUAUUCUGGUUUUAAGUGAAACUAGUGUUAUUUCGUCUAUGCUAAACUUAGGCUUAAAUCAAUGUUACGAAUUAAAUUGACAUAUUUAAAAAAAAAAAAAAUCCCUUACUUCUUUAUUUUUGUAACAUUAAUUUGACACUUUUUAAUAACUUCUAAAAUAUUAAGAUACAAAACGGUAUCUGAAAAUUUAAGGAUAUUUUUCUUAGUUUCUAUAAGAUUCUUUUUAAUUAAAAAAAUAAACAAAUGCAUGCAUGAAAUUUUUUUCUAAUUUCUAUUUAACUAAACUCGUUUGCCAUUUUCACAUAAAAGAAAGUAUAUAUGAGGUGUAUUUAUAGGGUCAUUAUCAUCAUUACCAUGAUAUAAUUAUCUUUAAUACAUGUAAAAAUCCUUAAAGUUCUUAGAAUUUACCAAAACUUAUGGCAAUUACAAAGCCAUAUAACUACAAUUAAGAAUAAAAAGAAACUAUGUGAGAAUUAUAAAAUGUGGACAUCCUGCCUUAUAUAGUAGUAGUAUAUUAUACUCUCUUCAUUCAAAAUUACUUGUAAGUCCCUAAUUGAAUUUCCAUUUCCACUUCAUCUCUUUAAUAUAAUACAUUUCUUUCAACUCCUCAAUCUACAGAAAUGUACACAUUCUUUCAUCUCCUCAAUCUACACAUACAUAUAACAUGAGUGAUUUCUUUAAUUCUCUUUCAUAAUGUAUACUCAACAAAAAUUCUUGAAAAAAUAGCAUAUUCAUCUCAUAACGAUUGUAUUAAUGCUAAAAUGAGAUUUGUAUUUCAUUGAUUUUUUAUUUUUUUUGACAUGCAAUGCACAUGCACUUACGAUGAUCAUUUUAUGCAUUUAUUUGUUUGUAUGCUACUGUUAGUCUUUUAAAGAGGUAUUCGAUGACAAUAUUAUAUAUCAACAACUGUUUAGAGAAAUUAUCAGUUGAAAAUUCAUGAAACUGAAAUAAAGACAUCCAUACCAGGAAGAAAAUUGAAGAGUUUAUAAGUGCAUACAUAAAAAAUGAAAAUGGAGUGGCCGCAUACAGAAAUGGCGUGGUAUGCGUUUUUAAUUUAUUGUUUUUUUUUUACUUCAAUAUUAAAAAGAAAAAAUUACAGAAAAAUACACUUACAAAUGUACGUUUCAUUUUCGUAGCAUAAAAGUUACAUUACAUUACAUGGCCCAAAAUCAGACUUUGCCCAAAUCUGCAAACUAACCUGUUUGUUGGUUAUAUCGUGUAAAGAGGCUUUUCCUUCAAAAUUGAAUCUUUUUUUUACCCGAUUUCAGCUCCAAAACCUCUCAAAAAAAUUAGUACACCUUAUUCAACUCGAAAUAUAUACAAUGCAACUUGAAAAGUUCGUGAACAUAAGCAAUUCUUGAAAAAAAUUCAACAUUGUUGAAAAUUAAUUUUUGUCAUUCGAGCUUCAUUUUUGAAUUUUUGUAGAUAAGUUCAAUUUUGAGUGAGUACGGUUAUAAAAGAUCGGUUAGGUACCGAGGAGCUCAAAUAUGAAAUUUUGGAUAAUUUAGUGUAGUUUUGAGGUAUUUUUGGAGAAUUAGUGCUUGAAUUCGUAGAAGAAAAUGAAGUUUGUUCUUUUGUAUACGUUUGUAUACUGUAUUGUAUAUUGUUUUAUAUAAAAUACAAUCUUUUUGUUUAGGUAAUUUCUUCUUCCUACCCAUUUUAUACAUACUUAUACAAUAUAGAUACAUUGUUUAAACACUGUAUAUAAAUAUGUACGUAUUUGUAUAAUUAUGCAUAUUAUUGAAUAAUUGUAUAUAUAACAUUAUGCAAAAUUAUAAGAGGCCUAUAAUACACUCAUAUAAAAAUACUAUACAAUAUUAUGUGCAAUAAUAGUCUAUUUAGGUGAUUUUCUUCUUCCUUACCAUUUUACAUCCACUUAUACAGUGUUAAUACAAUGUCUAUUUUGUAUAUAUUUAUAUAUUAUAUUGUAUAUUGUUGUUUAUAUUUAUAUACCGUAUUGUAUAUUGUUGUAUAUACAAUACAGUCUUUUUGUUUUGGUGAUUUUCUUCUUCUGCUUCAUUGUAUACAUUAUUAUACUAUUAGCCCCAUAUUCUCACUAUAUGUUUUAAUAAGGACAAAUUAAUAAACAAAUAUCUUGCAGGAUACACCGAAGAUGCAAAAGAUCAAAUAGAAUCAAUCCAAAAAGGAAGCAAACAUCUACUCACAAGACAGGCGGUUCCAAGAUUGAAAGAACAUCAAUCACAAAGAUUAUUGACUUCCAAGACUUAUGGCAAGCGAAUCAAUCAAGAACAAGAGCAAAAGGAAAGAAGACCAUAGUAUCAAUCACGGAGAGUACUAGCCUCCUAGAAUUAUAGCAAGUCGAAUUACUCAAGACUAAGAGCAAAAGGAAAGAAGGUCGCACCCUCUACAUAAACAUAUUUGAUAUGGAUAUGUAUGGAUGUGGAAGUUGCAUCACGUAUGGACACAUUUUAUGGUGUCAUUCCUCAAUCAAGGAAUCAAUUCAAAUCCUUGAUUGAGAAAAAACCUCUUGGGUUUAAUUAUGAAGAAUAGAAGUUGAAGCAGCUGAAGAUUAUAAAAGAAAAGACCAAAGAUCGAAGCACUUACGCAACUUUAAGAAAGAAUCUCAGAGUGUCUCAAUCUUAGUCUCAUAAAGCUUUGUACUUCUUAGUUUAUAAUAGUUAUACAAAAAAUAAGAUCGAGUCAAUUUUGUAAUACAAAUUGAGGCUGUGUCACAAGAUCUAAAAAACAAAAUAAGUCUUCAGAACUUAUUUACCACCAUUGUACUGGAGCUCCACUUUGAAAGAUCUAAGGAGACUUUGAAACCCAAGGGGACUGGAAGUAGGCACUAUAUUGGUGUUCUGAAUCAGGAUAAAUCUAUGUAUUUUCUAUUUCAAGUUGUAUAUUUACUUAUCUGCUGAUUUAAAUCUAAUCCGGUUUGUGAAGUAUAUUGAUUUGCAGAAAGUCGACUUAGAAGACUUAACAGUCGACUCACAAAAAUUUUCAAUUCACCCCCUCUUGAAUUUUAAUUGGUAUUAGAGCAAGUUUCACCAACAGUGUUGCUUAAACGCACGUGAGAAAAGAUCAGAUGGCAAACUACCAAAAUCCCGGCGCUCUCCUUCAAGACGGCCAUUCCACCACAAAACCAUAAUACUUCAACUGACAAUAGUAUUCCUAUUGGAAGAACAGAUUCAGAAUAUUCAUCCAAUCGAAUGACUUUCAAACAUGGGGUGUUAUUAAGAAGGGACCAAAGUCAAUCCCAGAACUCAAGGAAAAGUAGAAAGGUAAGGACAAAGACAAAGAAUCGAGCAGUACUGAUAUAGAAGACCUCGGGAACUUUGAAAUCACCAAAGAGAAACAAGAGGUAACUCAAACUAAUGCACGAGCUAUAAAUUUACUUCUUUGUGCAGUGAGCAGAGAAAAAUACGACAAGAUAUCGACCUGCUAGACCGCAAAAAAAUGUAGGAUAAAUUAGAGGUAAUUUAUGAAGGAACCACCAAAAUCAAGAAGUCAAAAAUUGCUGCUCUAGUCCAUGAAUACUUUAAAAUAGAAGAAAAUGAGAACGUAAAAUCAAUGUUUGCAGAUUUAGCAAAAUUGUGUGUGAACUAAAAUCAUUAGGGAUGAUCUAUCCGCACAGCCUGCAAGACCAGGAGCUUGUUAGAAGUCUCCCUAAACUAAAAUUGUCAAUCUGGAAGAUGGAGACCUUUACAACAUGACAUAUAAUGAGUUACGAGGUAAUCUCAUUGCAUAUGAACAAAACUAUAUCAAUAGGUACAACAAGGAAGAAAAAAAGAAACCAGUAGCCUUCAAUGUUGUACCAAAUGAAGAGAGACUUUUUGGAAGAAGUCAAUAGCGAAGGAAUUGCUCUUAUAAAUUAAGGAUUAAGGUAAAUCAUGAAAAAGAGACAACAGAGAUCCCAAGGAGUCAGAAAUAAUGAUUCCACAAGAAAUAAUUAUCGUUGUUAUCACUGUAGAAGGCCAGGCUACUUUAAAAAAAUUAUUCCAGAAUUAAGAAGAAGAUCGUCUAGAAAAAAUAAAAACUUUAGAUCCUAGAGUGAUGAAGAUGAAACCGAAGAAGAAAUACAAGCAGCCAACAUGUGCUUCAUGGUAAAAGGUGAAUCAAGCAAGGUAAGACCACACGACUAUCAUAAUUGUAAUAUUCUUGAAUCUAAUUUAGAUAUGAUAACUGACGAGCUUUAAAAUUUUAUAGAUGAAUAUAAUAAACUCUCUCAAGAGAAUAAAAACUGAAAAGCUCGACUUAAACUAAAAUAUGAAAAGGAACGAAGAAACUGUCAAGUUGAAAUUGAAGCAUGUCAAAUUGAAAUUGACUUACUUCAAGAAGAGCUUGAUGAUGUAAAAAUAUAAUUAAGUAGCAUUAAAAAAUCACAAAGUCACAGUUUCGUAAGAUCAAAUUCCUUUAAAACCAACUUAAGUUCCCCUUUAAGAUCGUUUAAAUCAGCCAAGACCUCUUUCUCCUUUCAAGGACCUAUCUGCUAUACCUGUGGAUAGAAAGGACACAAAUCAUACAGCUAAAAGUAAAAGCCUAAAAGUGCAUGGGUUUGGAGGCCUAAAGGAAGUACAUCUAACUCGCAAGGACCCAAGACCAUUUGGGUAUCUAAACAAAAUUGAUUUCUUUUUUGCAGGAACAUGUUCGUAAAAUCUAUAAAAAGGAAAUGUGGGUCAUUGAUAGCGGAUGUUCCAGACAUAUGACCCCAAAAAAAAGAAAAUUUUUAUUCUCUGAAGAAAAUAAAAGAAGGAUCAGUCAGAUUCAAUGAUAAUUCUAGAAACAAUGUGAUUGAAGUUGGGUCAAUAAAGCUCAACCCCUCAUGUGAACUUAUUAAAGCAUAUCUCAUAGACGGACUCAAACCUGCUCAGUAUUAGUCAGCUGUGUGACGCUGGAUUUAGAGUCUCCUUCAAAGCUGAAAGUUGUUCCAUCAAACAUGAUAAAAGAGAUAUUUCUCUUAUCAGUGAACAUGUUGAUAAUAUUUAUGUCUUAAAUAGUCCUGAUUUUGCUACCUUAACCCGCCUCACCGUGUAAACCAAUGACACUUAGUUGUGGCACAGAAAGCUUAGGCAUGCCAGUAUACAUAUCAUUGAGAAACUGUGCAGACUGAAACUGGUGAAAGGCCUGCCAAAACUCAAGUUUGAGAAGGAUCAAAUCUGUGAUGCCUUCCAAUUGAGUAAAAAGACCCGAACAUCAUUCAAAGUCAAAGACAUUGUCUCUACUACUAAACUCCUUCAAACAAUCCACAUGGAUUUAUUUGGCCUCGCCAAGACUGCAAAUAUUGGUGGGAAAAGAUGUAUUUUUGUUACUGUUAAUGAUUAUUCUCGUUUUACCUGGGUAAUGUUUCUCGCUCAUAAACAUGAGAUUUUUACGAAUUUUGAGAUCUUUUGUAGAAAAGUACAAAGAGAAGCAGGACAUCUCAUCACCUAUGUGCACAAUGAUCAUGAAGGAGAAUUUGAGAACAAAACUUUCGAGAAAUACUGUGCUCAGAAUGGAUACUCUCAAAACUUCUCAUCACCUCAGUCUCCUCAACAAAAUAGUGUGGUGGAAUGAAAAAAUCAUUCCUUUCAGGAGACUACAAGAACUAUACUACUGGAACACGAUCUUCCAGAUCACUUUUAAGCAAAGGAAUCAUAGGUGAUUAACUCCCCUCCACAGCCAGCAUAGACACAUUUCAUGCUUUUCAACUUCAUCAAAUUCACUGGAAGAAUCUCAUUAGACUACCAAAGCUUGUUUCACUGAAAAAUCAGCUGCAACUUUUCUUCUUGACUUCUCAGGGACAUAGUCUUUCUUCUUUCCCUUAUUAGCUCCAGAUUUUUGAUAUUCUUGAUAGUCCAAUUUGUGUAGUGGACAAUCCUUGAUAAAAUGCUCAAGACUUCCAUAUUUGUGACAAACUUCAACAGUACCUCCCUUUGUUCUACUGCUUCAUUUCCUUUGAAAUUGGCCACUUUUCUUCAUUGCUUUCACAAUCUUUUUGGCCAGGUAUGCAACAUCAUUGUCUUCCUCGCUUGAUUCGAACUUUGAUGCUUUUGAUGCCAAAGACUUUUUCCUUUUUACUUCCUUCUUCUCAUGCCCUUGCUGCUUCAUGGGUUCAUGAGUCUUUAGAUUACCAAUAAGUUCAUCUAUAAUGAGAGUCUUCAGGGUUCUUGCCUCAGUAAUAGCAUUUAGUAAGCACAACAUGUCACAUCAUCAACAAAUGCCUCAUUAGACCUAUUCUAAAAAAGACGCCUUCUGAGAUGUGGAGAUGGAAGAAGCCAAAUAUUAGCUACUUUCAUUCAUUCGGAUGCAAAUGCCUCAUCCACAACAACGGUAAGAAUAACAUGGGAAAAUUCAAUCUAAGAAGUGAUGAUGGUAUUUUUCUUGGAUACUCUCCCACCAAUCGCGCUUACAGGCUUACAAUAAAAGAACAUUAGAUGUUAAAGAAUCUAUGCAUAGCAUAUUAUGAUGAAACUAAUCACCCUCUUAUGAAUUUAAGUAUUGAUGAAGAACAAGUGAGCAAUCCAUAAUCUAGAGCCAACUAGCACAGUUCCUAAGCCAUCGCAAGACGAGUCGACUACAUCCUUUCUAGAGUCUACUCUCGCAGUUGAAAUAAUCAAAACAAGUGUUCUAAGAGAAUAGAAAAAUUAUGCUAGCUAUUCAAAUAAUUUUACUAUCAAAAAUCUAGAUGAUAGGAUGCAGACAAGAGCCUUAUUGAUAAAGCAAGCAUCUGUUGCCCUUGUAUCUCAAAUAGAACCAAAGAAGAUUGAUGAGUCCCUCAAAGAUGAAUCCUGGGUCAAGGCCAUGAUAGAAGAAUUGGACUAAUUCGAACGAAGUCAAGUUUGGACCUAGUUGAAAGACCCAAGAACUGCUCAGUAAUCGAAACUAGAUGGGUCUAUAAAAAUAAAUUGACUGAAGAAGGUAAGGUGAUCAGAAACAAUGCCAGACUUGCAGCUCAAGGCUACUCCCAACAAGAAGAAAAAAUUAAAAUGGGCCUCAUAGGAGAGGUCACAUUUUCUUGGGAUUACAAAUCAAGCAAACACCUAAAGUUACUUUCAUUAGUCAAGCCAAAUACACAAAGGAACUUAUCAUAAAGUUUGGCAUGGAGAAAGAAAAGGCCUAUGGAACUCCAAUGAGUCCAUCCACAAGUCUUGAUUCAGAUUCAUCUAGAAAAGAUGUUGAUGAAAAAACAUACAGGGUAAUGAUUGGAUCACUUCUCUACUUGACCACUAGUCGACCAGAUAUUAUGUUCAGCGUAUGUAAGUUUGCAAGGUUUCAGUUGGCUCCCAAAGAAUCUCAUUUGACUGCCGUCAAAAGAUUAAUCUGAUAUCACAUUGGAACCUAGGAUACUGGACUAUGGUACCCUUGUUCUUCUCAUUUUAAUUUAAUUGGAUAUUCAAAUGCUAACUUUGCAGGUGAUAAAAAUGAUAGAAAAAGAACUAGUGGAAGUUGUCAAAUACUUAGUGAUGCCUUGAUUUCAUGGCACAGUAAGAAGCAAACUUCGGUUGCUCUUUCAACAAAAGUCGAAUACAUCGCAGUUGGAGGAUAUGAUACUCAAAUUUUAAGGGUUAUGCAACAACUACUUAAUUUUAAUUUGUCCUUUGAAUUUGUACCCAUAAUGUGUGAUAACACCAGUGCUAUUAGUUUGUUUAAAUAUAUUGUGCAUCAUUCUAAGGCAUUUUAUUUGAGAUCAUGUAGAAAACAGAGACUUUUCUUUAAUAUUUAUUGACUCCAAAAAUCAAUUGGUAGAAUUUUUCCCAUGCCUUUGUUAGAAGAAAAUUUUGUUUCCUUAGAAAAAGACUUGGUAUUAUCAGUAUUAAUGACUUGUGAGUUUUAUCUUUGGAAAAUAUUUUUUUUUACCUAUUUUGGAACAUUUUUUUACUACCUUAUUUUUACUUUUGAAAAUUGAUUUUCUAAAGGAAGGUGUCAUCAUUACUUUCAUCAUUUCUUACGCCACGUCUGUCGCCACUACACUCUUUUAUAUUACCAACAUCCCCCUUUCUGUCGUCCUUUCAAUUCCAUCAGUCACCUCAUUUACUUCGCCCCCUUCUCCCAACAGUCACCUCAUUCCCAACAUCCCCCUUCUCCUCUCGAUUCACUCACCCAUUUCUUCAUCUUCUCCUCCGCCCAUUUUAAAAUCAUGAUAAACUAUUCUCCCAUGACCAAAACUCACUCCAUGGCCAGUUUUUCCAAAAAUUUCUUCGAAAAUCUCUAUUCGAUAAUCAUGUUCUCAUCAUCGAAUCCUCUGAUUAAUAUUCAUUGAAUUCUCAACAGUCAACUAUUAUCAAAAAAAUUCCAGCCCCCAGCCUAGCCUCUUCAAUAAAGUAACCUCAUUCAAACUCCCUGAACACCUUCCCUUUCGAGGACAUGCUUAAAUUCUGAACAAGCUCACAAAGAAAAGUUCAUAGCCUCCAAAAGUCGCUCCAUUGUACCCGAUCGCAUAGUCAAUCUUUAUUAAUUAAAGAAAGCUCAUUGCAAUCCCAGUCAGUCUUUAAAUUUUAUGACUAGCCACUGGUUUUUUGCCUAUGUGGACUUGAAGUGUAUGAGGAUCUUGUUUGAAUAUUUUAUGCCAAUUUCUUCUGCCUCCCUCCUGACAGCAAUAAACUUAAGAAUCUUACACUUGGCACAUGAAUCAUACUAAAUAUUUUUCUGUUUGUAAAGGUAUUUGGUGCAAAGUUCUAUAGUGCGAUCCCCUUGUUGAAUGACUCAUAUCCCGAAGAUUUUGAAAUAAGAUUUGAAGAAGUUAAAAAAAUCCUGUCUAACCUGAACACAAUGUCUUUUAAUUUUGGUCCCUUAUCUCUAUGUUUUAAGUACCGCAUCAUGGCUCAUAUCAUCGUCAUCAUAUUGAUUCCAAGGAAGGUAUCCUUUUAAAUAUAACCUGUCGCGAUGUGUUUGUCCUGUAUUGUAUUGAAAAAACACAAGAUAAAUUGGGCUUCUUAAAUUCGUGAAUAUAUGCUUUAGAGUACAGUAGAUAUUCAUGCCUCUGCCAGUAUGUCAUAUGGAUUGCUGAUUACUCGAAUUCUCCUGUAUUAGUAUAUUGACCUCUCUGAUUACCCCUCGGUGGAAGUCUCCGCUACUUAUGUCUCCAAAAGUUUUUCCAACAUGGGAUAUGUUUUGGUCGAUAAUGAAUGGUGUAAAAAUAACUCUACUCGAUCAAAAUAUGAACUCCCUAAGGUAAGCAAGUCAGUUUCUAACCCCAUGAUUUCUGUGUUAAAGGAAUUGAAGGAACUCAAAGAUUACUUCAAAGCUAUUGAUGAAGGUGUAAUGCUGCUUCAGGGGUUGACUUCUAGGCUGAUAGAUUUUGGGAAGAGCACAAACAAUGAUAUAGACUCAUUAUAGCUGACCCUUGCCGGAUUCAAACAAGAAGGCAUCAAGCUAUUCACCAAAGUAUUUGCUCGUAUGGACUCCCUCAAGACUCAGGUCAACUCCUCAAAUGAUUAUCUUACGAUAUCCAUCCAGAACUCCUACUCCUCCUUCUUUAAAAACGUUGAAAAAUCUUAUGACAAAUUCUGCCAUAACAUGCAUAACACCCUCACAUACUUUCUAGCUAAGCAGUGAAUGAUGACUUUUAUUAAAAAGGGGUCAUGUCCCCUUUUUAGGUUUGUAAAAUAAAUUUUACAUAUUGUCAACCAUAUUUUUUUUAUUUUUACUUAAUCCUGAUAAUCAAUUAGACUAUUUACCUGCUAUAUGUCUACUGCUUCUUUUAUUUUCUUUUGUCGUGUUGUUCUUUUUUAUUAUGCCAAAAGGGAAAGAAAGGCAGGAGCAUCAGAGGAGCCCGCAAGUCAGGAGGAACAAGUCGACUAUCAAAGGGUGAGAGUCAAUUGAUGCUCAAAGAAAAGAGGAACAUUAGAAGUGCUUGCAAGACAAGGGAAGAAAGCCAACUAUCAAAGGAUGAGAGUCAACUAAUGCUCAAAGAAAAUAGUAACAUCGAAGGUGUUUGUGAGACAGGGGAGCACAUCAUCAAAAAAUAGAAAAGUCAACUGAUGUUUAUUAUUUGUCAUUAUAAAAAAAGGAGAGAUUGUUAGCCCAAUAUUCUCACUAUAUGUUUUAAUAAGGACAAACUAAUAAACAAAUAUCUUGCAAAAUACACUGAAGAUAAAAAGGAUCAAAUAGAAUUAAUCCAAAAAGGAAGCACACAUCUACUCACAAGAUGGAACAACAUCAAUCACGAAAAUUACUAACUUCCAAGACUUAUGGCAAGUGAAUCAAUCAAGAACAAGAGCAAAAGGAAAGAAGACCACAAUAUCAAUCAUGGAGAUUACUGGCCUCCCAGAAUCAUGGAAAAUCAAAUCAAUCAAGACUAAGAACAAAAGGAAAGAUGGAAACACCCUCUACAUGGACAUAUCUGAUAUGGACAUAUAUGGAUGUGGAAGUUGCAUCACGUAUGGACAUACUUUAUAGUUCCAUUCCUCAAUCAAUCAAGGAAUCAAUUCAAAUCCAUGAUUGAGAAGAAAUCUAUUGGCUUUUCUUACAAAGAAUAGAAGCCAAAGCAGUUGAUGUCACACCCCAUUUUUAUUAAAAAAAGAUAUAAUUGAGUUUGAAAAGGGUAUUAUUAUUAAAAGUGACAAAUAGGACAAAAUGUGUUUCGAAAAGGAUUUUAAAACACGAAUUCAGAGUCUCCACUUGGCAUAGAUUUGGUGUGCCAAGUCACCUUUGGAAAUUCUUUUCAAAAUAAAUUUGACUCUCAAAACUGAUCCGCGAACAGAGAUUUUGGUUAAGAAAUUAUAUUGACCGAGGAGAAGAUGUUAGGUACCCCUCGGUCCCGUGGUUCUAGCAUGGUGGCUUCUUGACUUGUAUCAGCUAAUCUGAUACCAUGAAGUGAAUAAACCACAUAAAACACACAAAACUAAUAAACAAACAAACCAUCCAAAACAAAUUCAAAAAACAGUAUCUAGUUCAAUUAUUACAGUUAGAAAUAAAAAUACUAAGAUAAACCUACAAUAACCUAUAUUAACCCUAACUAUGCUCUACCCGAUGCAUAGGGCCUUCAUCACUAAUGUCCUUCGCGUACAAGAUACUUUGGGGUAUUUCCUGGUGAAUAAAUACAAAUGGUCUCGGGGCAUUCCCCGGCUAAAUCAAUACAUUCUUUCAAUGUGAGAAAACCAAAAUAUUUCAAACAUUCAACGACCACAAUCCUAAUGUUUUCCCUACCUGACCUACUAUUUGCUUACUUAUUUUGAUUUAUCAAGAUUCUAUCACAUUCAAUAUCAUCAAAGAAUCAAAAUUAAUCCAAAUACACUUUAUCAAGAUUAACCCCUCCCGAAUUCAUUUCAACCACACAAUUAACCAAUUUCAAUAUAGAAUUAACCCAUCAGGCCACGUCAAUUAUAGAAGCUCAAAUAUACUCAAAACACACUACCAAAUCACAUUAUCAAUCACGAUGAGAUAAUAGAAAGGAGUAGAGUUGAGAAUUGGACCUUAAAAGAAGCUUUCAAAAUCAAAGUAUUAUUCCGAUUUAAAGGUAGAAUGCGCUUCCGAUAACCACAACUCAAACCUCAGCCAAAGAAACCGCAUCCCAAUACUAACCCCUUAAAUUGACAAUUCGACCUCAAACUUUGUUUUUCCCAAACAAGAUUAUUUUUUUAUCUAUUUUUGAUGCCAACAUUAAUUAGUAUUAUUACUUUUUGGUGGAUUUCAUUGAAAGUUAGAAACGGGAGUCGGGUUAUGUCAUUUUUGGUGGGUUUAGCCACUGAUUUCUGGUGGAUUCCAAAAUAGUGUGGAGAUGGGUUACUAUUCUCUGCUUCGUCGGAGCUCCGGAAAGCUCAACAGUAGCAAGAAGCAGAGAAAGAAACUGGUGGUAGCAAAUUUUUUCAGUGAAAACUCGUCGGAAGAAUCUCUCUCAUAUUUCCUCUCUGUUUCGCUCAAUUCUUUCUUUUUUCCCUCGAUUUUAGCUCUCUUCUCUGACUGGUGUAUAGUUAUGAACUGUGUAUGUAUAUGUUCAAAAAAUAGAAUUGUGUGUGUAUUCCCCUAUUCUCCAUAUCUGUGUGUGCCUAUAUUAAUGUGUUAGUGUUGUGUGUGAAUUUUUUGUGGGUAUUUAAGCUGUGAGAGUGAAGCUGUGUAUGUGAUUCAGUGUAUUUCGAGUGUGUGUAGUGAGGUAAGUCUAUUAGAAUUGUGAUAGUUUUUCUUUCUAGGUAUUUGUGAGGUGUAUAUAUUUUAUUGUGUGUGUUUGUUGUGAGUAUUGUGUGUCUAUAUAUGUUCCAGUGAGUGUGAGUGUGUAUACGUACAACUGUAUGUAUAUGAAAGUCAAGGGGUGUGUGUAUUGUAUGGUGUAUUUUUGUUAAUUAAAUGGUUGAUCUUGGGUGUAUUUAUACGCCUAAGCACCAUAACUUAUCCAUAUUUUAGCUAUGUUUAGAGAAUAAAGUGCCUAGUUUUUUUUUAUGUUUUUACUCUACUUCUAUGUAACUGAGCUAACCGAUGUGAUUAGCAUGAUUUUAGGUACUAAUGAGGUAGAUGAAGACAUUAUGGGACUAUGAAAUGCGGAUGGCAUAUGACACAAGAGAGAGUAGCAAUCUGGACCAAAUGUGGCGCCUAGAAACUAUGUCCAAGACUAGUUUGUCAUUUAUAAUUAGUUUAGGGACUUAGAAGGCAAUUAUGAGAGAAGAGAUUAUUAAAAGGCUUAAUGCUGAGUUUUUAUUCAAUUAUUCAUUAUUCUGUAUUAUUCUGAGAGAGGAGAAAGGCGGCUUAGCUUGAGGGGAGAGAGAGAAACGUUUUUCUCUCUUGUUUUCACUAUUCGUACACCAAGAUCGUCUUCUAGUUUUUGGUAUGAUGAAUAUUUCUAUGGUGAUUUUUGUUUUAUUUAUGAAUAGCUAAGUUUAUUAGUUAGGGUUAUGGAAGCCUUGUAGCAUACAAUCUAUUACUUUGGGUUUUGAAUUCAUUAUGCAUAGAUUUGUUUACAUCAUACUCUCUUCGUUUAUUUUGAAUUCUCGUGGUUGCAAACAUAGAGGAUGUUCCUUAAAACACAACUUGUUUGAGAGAAAGGUUGUUGUUCGGAAAAGAGAGUAGUGACAAGAAAAUAGGAUUUCCAAUCCCUAUUUCAUAUGUUAAUGCCUUAGCAGGAUUAACUACUUGGAGAUUUCGUAUUGUUUUUGGUGAACGUUUUUUAUUCGAGAGAACUAAAGUGAAUUAGUCCUUGAUGGUUGAGAAACACUAGGAUUAUGUUAUUAAAUAUAAUACAUUUCUCUGUAAGCACAAUGCAUGUAUGAAUUCAUAAAGCCCAUAGUUAGUAAGUAUUGAAAACUACAAGGUGGACAUAACCCUAGUUUGCUAUUUCUCUGAAUUUGAAUACUACUACACAUAUUCAUCUUGUUAAACUAAAAUCAUUAAUUUGUGAACUGAAUCAAAUUCCCCCUAUUUAUUUUACGGAAAUGAACGAUUAAAAGUCAACUAAUCUGUAUACAACUUAAUUAACACCAUAGUUCCUGUGGGAUUCGACCCCAACCUAGUUGGGUUAUAUAUUUGACAACAACCGCUUACUCUCUCGUAAGAGAGGUGUAAUUUGAGCGUUAUCAAUGGUGAGCUGAAAAAAACUCCCCUCAUUCUAUUAUUAAAAGUGUAUGUGUAAAAUGUGAGGGGGUAAGGGUAGGGGUAAGCACGUGGGUAAGGGUGGGGUAGGGCAAGGUUGUUAUUUUUUGUAAUGAAUUUGUUGAGAGUUGGCUAAUUUUGUUCUUUUGUAGAAAAAUUAUCACAUGGGGAUAGGGUACAUGGUAAGAUGAGGGUCUAUGCAUAAAAAUUCACUUUUGGGAGAGAUAAAAUUACGCGUCUACAUCAUGCCCUUCUUUAGGUGUAAACAUAUAGUGUUUUCAAACAAAGAAAUACACAACGAAAUAGAAUUUUAUCCUGACCACUAUUCAAAAGAAAGAAACAGAAGGAAGGAGGACAACCGACUCUUGAUUUUUGGCAUCCUACCUAUCCAAAGUUGUGUGGAAGUCAAGUCAUAUGUAGUUUCAGGGUUGACAAGGAGACGGACUAUGUCAAGUUGGAGAGUCAAGUAAGGUCUUGUCGAGGUUCCGAUCCGUGGUUCUGUCAUUACAUCAAAAAUAAAAUUACAAGUUUAAAGAUAACUAAUAUUACAAAAAUCCUAUAUGUGCAGCUUCUUUAGAUUCUUGACUUGACUUCCUGAUGCUUUCAAAAGUAGCAAAAGAUCUGAUCUUCCUUGGGUUGAACUUAAGAAUAGAUUCUUUCUCAUACAAAAUUUGGUGUUGGAGAUGAACUCGAAUAUUGAUCAUGUUCUUUCAUGUGGGACUUCUGAACUUUGACCUUGAAUUUGAAAGUCCUCACCCUAUUCUCCAGGCAGGCUCCUAAUUUACAAUUUCUUCACCUUGUUGCUUAAUUUUUUAUUUCUUCACUCCAUUCUCCAGAAAGGCUCCUAAAAUCACAUUAAAACUAGAAAGAAAAUUACCCCAAACAAAGGUUAUGAUAAAGAGAGAUCUCACUUUUUCUAAAAUAAAGUCUCAUUUUUCAAGAGAGUCCUAAAAUGAUGUUUCCAGUAACAUAAAUUAAAUCUUUUUUCCCAGUUUAUCAUUAGAAAACUUUUGGUGGGUGUCAAACCCAAUCAAAAUUACUUGCAAGAUGCGUAAUACAAACUCAAGACUCUGAUAAAUGAAUUCAUUUCUUGCGGAUAAGGAGGCGUGUCUCCUAUGGAUUACAUGGAAGGACUCAACUAGAAAGUGUGGCUUCUAGGAAUCAAGGCUUGAGUUAGGAAGUGCGUCACCUGACAAAUGAAAUUUGAAACACUCAAACAAGGAAGUUUGUCUCCUAAGGAUCAAGUGGAAUGACUCCACUAGAAAGUGUAUUUUAUAAGAGUCAAGGCUUAAGCAAGGAAGUAUGUCUCCUAUAGGACAAGCGGAAUGACUUGACUAGAAAGUUUGUUUUCUAGGAGUCAAGGCUUAAAUCAGGAAUUGAACCACCUAACAAGCGAAACUUAAAUACCUACAAGAAAGUGUGUCUCCUAAGGGUCAAGUAGAAUGACUCGACUAGAAAUUUUAUUUUCUAGGAGUCGAGGCUUAAGUUAGGAAAUGAAGCACCUAACAAGAAAACCUUGAAUUCCAACAAGGAAGUGUGUCUCCUAAGGGUCAAGUGGAAUGACUCGACUAGAAAGUUCAUUUUUUAGGAUUCAAGGCUUAAGUUAGAAAGUGAACCACCUAACAAGCAAAACUUGAAUACCAACAAGGAAGUGUGUCUCCUAAGGAUCAAGUGGAAUGAAUCGACUGGAAAGUUCAUUUUCUAGGAGUCAAGGCUUAAGUUAGGAAGUGAACCACUUAACAAGUGCAACUUGAAUACCAAUAAAGAAGUGUGUCUCCUAAGGGUCAAGUGGAAUGACUCGACUAGAAAGUUCAUUUUCUAGGAGUCAAGGCUUAAGUUAGGAAGUGAACCACCUAACAAGAGAAACUUGAAUACCAACAAGGAAGUGUGUCUCUUAAAGGUCAAGUAGAAUGACUCGACUAGAAAGUUCAUUUUCUAGAAGUCAAGGCUUAAUUUAAAAAGUGCAUCACCUAAUAAAUGAACUUAACUUACCCAAACAAGGAAGUGUGUCUCCUAGAGAUAUUGGAUUGUGAGUUUUUACCAUGGUUUUGAUUACCAAACCUGUGUAGCAAUACUGCCUCUUGCAUUUGCAAAAGUAAGGCAAUGUGUCUUUUGAUAUUUCAAGCUCUAAAGCCCUUAAUUUGAAGGUAACAUGUGUUUCUAUUUUAUACAAAGAAAACUUACGAGUUUAAAAACACGGUGGUUGGAUUGCGACUUUAUCUUUUGAGGUAAUUGCUCUUGCACUUGUCACCUCUAAUUUUGCUUUCAUCUAUUGACAUAUCAUGGUCUUGCUGUGCCAUUGAUCCAAAUUCAAAUUAUUAAGAGUGACUCUAAAACAAACACAGUAUAUCUACUUUGCUAUGUUUCUCAGAUAAUCCCUGGUAUUUUUAUGAAUCCCCUAAAUUUGUUUGUUGACAACAACUUUAUGCAUGCCUUGUUCAGAUUUACGAUUAUGCUUCUUUCAUGUGUUGGCCUUUUUUCUUGCUUUGCAAUUGAAGAAGUUGGUAGCUAGUUUUGGAAUCUUUUCUCGCUUGCUUUAACAUUGAAUUGACUUAAAUACACAAGAAAAAUAACCUUUUAUUUGAAUAGAGGACUCAAGAAAACAAAAAUAGAAAUAUAGAGAAGAAAGAAAAGACAAUGAAUGUCUCUAUUGAAAUAGAUAAAAGAAAAUUUUCUCUAAAGAUGACAGUCAGCUCUAAUGAUUAUGACAUGCAUUUGGAUUGAACUGCCCGAUCUUUCCAUCCAAACUCUCACCAAUUGUUGUUUUUUUGACAACCUUGACACGGAGUUGCUUCCUUAAGUCAAUUACACUUAUAGAACUCAUUCAGCUAGUGACACCUUGAAGGGUUUUCAUCAAUAAAUCUUUCUCAUUUUAUUUCACUCAGCUCACCUUUGCCUUACAGUGCCCUUGAGGGUUUUCACUUAUAAGGCUCUCUCAUUUUUAUCUCUCAACUUUCCACCACCUUACGGUUCCUAUGAGGAUUUUCACCAAUAAGACUCUCUCAAUUUUAUUUCUCUUAACUAAUUCCUCAUGCUGAGGAAGACAAGUAGUCCAAAUGCGUCUUAUCCGUUACAUGCUUAGACUCAACAUUCUCAAAUAUUGAUCUGAAGGUAUUUCUUUGGUUGUAACUUAGCUUCCAGAUAGGGUUAGAAAGAAAGGAUGGUAUGAGGCUCAAACAACACUUGAAGUGGGGUGACACUUACAACUUUUAGAAUCAACUCAAACAACAAAGAUUAACUUAUUCCCCAGUUUCUUAUGAUUGGAUAAUUCUAAAUUAUUUAUUUGGUUGAACCAAACCUAGAGCAGCGCUGCCUACGUAUCUCACACUCAAAAGAGGAGAAUCAGGUCAAACAUAAUUUCGACAACUUGUUACUUUGCUUAGCUCUCGUUCCUUUCCUUUUUCCUUUUUAUUGACUCUUUUACUUUUUGGGACUUUUCUGACUCUAUUUUUCUUGGCACUCAUCACUUUUCUUUCUUUUUGACAUAUUUUUCUUUUUUUUUUUUGAAACCUUUCUGACUCUAUUCUUUUACUGGCCACAUUUUUUUAACUUUGCUAACUCUAUCUUGAUUCCAAAAGAGGGGUAUGAAAGAAAAUAGAACUAAAUCUCAAAUUAGGUAAACAAAGGAUGACCUAAUGUUUGGAUAGCAGAUUGAAAUACCUUUGUCAUAUCAAUCCUUGAAAAUACAAGUACAUAUCAUGCAAUAUGACAGUUAAAGAUGAAGAUCAUUUGUGACAUUUUUAACAACACUAAAUUUAACUGAGUCUGUGUGUCACUACUUCUUUUGCGCUUGUCCAACAUAUAACUCCACCUUUGUUGUACAUCCCUUACAUUGAAUAGCUCAUGCUUUUGUUGAGUUGGUUAUCUUUCUGUUCCUCUUGAUAUAGGAUCACACAUCCACUAUUUGACCUAAUUGAGACAUGCCUUUCAGUUGAUGACCAAGUUUUUCUUAUGAUUCUGACAAUAAUUUUCUUAAUUUUCAAAGAAGGCUUCAACUUGUCACCAAAUGUCUCAGCACUCUACCUAUUUUCUCAGAUACUUUUUUAUAACUUUAGCCCUCUGAUUCAAAGUUCAUGCUUAAACUGGUUUUUAAGAUCUAGCUGAAAGUCCCGCCAGCAUGUCAUAUCACUAGAAUCAAUAUAAAAUGUAUUAUGUAAAGAAAACAAACAAAUAACAUAUAUGUAAAACACAAAGGGAAAAGGGACACUCUAUUUAGUUGAAAUAAAAGAUAGAAGGGUUUGAACAUAAAUGACAAGGGACAAAACAAGAUAGAUCCCAAACUACAAUCCUGAAAUAAUUCGAAUAACAGAAAAGAAAAUAAAACAAACUACCAAACCCCUUCAUAGUAAGGAGAGGAGUGACUUUCUAAUUGUUGAGUCUGACCUUUUAGCUACUGGUUUGCACAUCAACAUGACUAUAACUUUCACCACUAUCAAUGUUCUUCACUAUAAUCGAUUUAUCUUGAAUCAUCUUUUCGAUUUCUCUUUUUAAAGCACGACAAUCUUCAAUACUGUGACCCUGAACAUCGAAAUGAUAUGCACAUCGUAUAUUAGGAUCAAAAUAUCUUAAAUAUAGGCCAGGAGUAUACCCAAGAAGAGGAGUGAUCAUGCUCGACUUUACCAAUCUCUUGAAUAAACUAACAUAUGGCUCUCCAAUUAGUGUGAAACUAUCCCUUGACUUUUGCCUCAUUUCAUUAUUUGGCUUAUAUCAAAAAUCGAGCCUAGAAGGGCUUUAGUAUGUUUGUGAAUUUAAAAGAUGACUCUGAGGAAUUGAUGUGUGCGAUGGGAGUUGAAUAUAUGGUUGUGUAUUUUAUACUGGAUAUGAAGGUAGGGGAAUAGAGUAUAAUGGAUUUUGGGAGUGAUUAUGUACAGCUUGGGGUAUGAUCUUAGGCUUGAGCCUGAGGGUAACGAUGAUGUGGUUUUCUUGAUCAUGUCCAUUGUCCAACUACAAUAGCAGAUGCAUCUUCCCUAUUUUUCUUUCCUCCAACACUUUCUGAACCCUUUUGAAUUGCUUGAGUAGUUGUUUUCAAUGUUACAAAACUCACAAUGCGACCAGUCUUAAUUCUAUCCUCUAUCAUCUCCCCCAUGUUAAGGACCUCAAUAAAUGGCCUACCUAAUGCAGGUAACAACUACUGAUAAUAUGUUUCAUUUUGUGCUUGAAUAAAUACCUUCAAUAUCUUGCUUUCUAUAAUUUGCGAUUUCACCCUAGCAGCUUGUUCGCUCCAUCUAAUCACAUAUUCUAUGAAAUUUUCAGUACUCUUCUUUUUCAUAUUAGUUAGGAAUUUCUCAUCAGGAAUCAACACCACAUUGUAUUGAAAUUAUUGCAAAAAUUUAUUAGCUAGGUCAUCCCAACUAUUCAACUUAUCAAUGUCUUGGUUAACAAACUAUUUUAAAGCUAAGCCUAAAAAACUCUCACCUAAAUAAGCCAUUAGUAAUUUUUCCUUCCCUCCAGCGCCCCUUAGUUGGUUACAAUAACGUCUCAAAUAGGCCACUGGAUCUCCAUGUCCAUCAUAUUUUUCAAAAUUUGGUAUUUUGAAACCAAGAGAGAGAUUAACACCUAGAAACAUACACAGAACUUUAUACGAUACACUUUUAUAACCCCCAAGCCCCUGCAAGUUUCUCAUGGCUUGUUCCAAACUUUUUACUUUUCUAGUCAUUUCAUUUUGUUCUUCUAUCACAAUGGGCUUUUCAGCAUUAAAAGAAAGUUCAAGCAGUUGAAUGUCGCCAUAAGGACCAGUCAACUUAGAUGUGGGCUCAAGAGUAUAAUGCUGAUACCAGAAAUAUUCAAUACAGGCUCUUUUGUACAGCUUGGGGUAUGAUCUUGGGCUUGAGCUUGAGGGUAACGACGAUGUGGUUUUCUUGAUGAUGCCCAUUGUCCAACUACAAUAGCAGAUGCAUCUUUCCCAUUUUUCUUUCCUCCAACACUUUCUGAACUCUUUUGAAUUGCUUGAGUAGUUGUUUUCAAUGUUGCAAAACUCACAAUGCGACCAGUCUUAAUUCUAUCCUCUAUCAUCUCCCCCAUGUUAAGGACCUCAAUAAAUGGCCUACCUAAUGCAGGUAACAAGUACUGAUAAUAUGUUUCAUUUUGUGCUUGAAUAAAUACCUCCAAUAUCUUGCUUUCUGUAAUUUGUGAUUUCACCCUAGCAGCUUGUUCACGCCAUCUAAACACAUAUUCUCUGAAAUUUUCAGUACUCUUCUUCUUCAUAUUAGUUAGGAAUUUCUCAUCAGGAAUCAACUCCACAUUGUAUUGAAAUUAUUGCAUAAAGUUAUUAGCUAGGUCAUCCCAACUAUUCAACUUAUCAAUGUCUUGGUUAACAAACUAUUUUAAAGCUAAGCCUGAAAAACUCUUAGCUAAAUAAGCCAUUAGUAAUUCUUCCUUCCCUCUAGUGCCCCUUAGUUGGUUACAAUAACGUCUCAAAUAGGCCACUGGGUCUCCAUGUCCGUCAUAUUUUUCAAAAUUUGGUAUUUUGAAACCAAGAGAGAGAUUAACACCUGGAAACAUACACAAAACUUUAUACGAUACACUUUUAUAACCCCCAAGCCCCUGCAAGUUUCUCAUGGCUUGUUCCAAACUUUUUACUUUUCUAGUCAUUUCAUUUUGUUCUUCUAUCACAAUGGGCUUUUCAGCAUUAAAAGAAAGUUCAAGCAGUUGAAUGUCGCCAUAAGGACCAGUCAACUUAGAUGUGGGCUCAAGAGUAUAAUGCUGAUACCAGAAAUAUUCAAUACAGGCUCUUUUGUACAGCUUGGGGUAUGAUCUUGGGCUUGAGCUUGAGGGUAACGACGAUGUGGUUUUCUUGAUCAUGCCCAUUGUCCAACUACAAUAGCAGAUGCAUCUUUCCCAUUUUUCUUUCCUCCAACACUUUCUGAACCCUUUUGAAUUGCUUGAGUAGUUGUUUUCAAUGUUGCAAAACUCACAAUGCGACCAGUCUUAAUUCCAUCCUCUAUUAUCUCCCCCAUGUUAAGGACCUCAAUAAAUGGCGUACCUAAUGCAGGUAACAAGUACUGAUAAUAUGUUUCAUUUUGUGCUUGAAUAAAUACCUCCAAUAUCUUGCUUUCUAUAAUUUGCGAUUUCACCCUAGCAGCUUGUUCACGCUAUCUAAUCACAUAUUCUCUAAAAUUUUCAGUACUCUUCUUUUUCAUAUUAGUUAGGAAUUUCUCAUCAGGAAUCAACACCACAUUGUAUUGAAAUUAUUGCAAAAAGUUAUUAGCUAGGUCAUCCCAACUAUUCAACUUAUCAAUGUCUUGGUUAACAAACCAUUUCAAAGUUAAGCCUGAAAAACUCUCACCGAAAUAAGCCAUUAGUAAUUCUUCCUUCCCUCCAGCGCCCCUUAGUUGGUUACAAUAACGUCUCAAAUAGGCCACUGGGUCUCCAUGUUCGUCAUAUUUUUCAAACUUUGGUAUUUUGAAACCAAGAGAGAGAUUAACACCUGGAAACAUACACAGAACUUUAUGCGAUACACUUUUAUAACCCCCAAGCCCCUGCAAGUUUCUUUUGGCUUGUUCCAAACUUUUUACUUUUCUAGUCAUUUCAUUUUGUUCUUCUGUCAAAAUGGGCUUUUCAGCAUUAAAAGGAAGUUCAAGCAGUUGAAUGUCGCCAUAAGGACUAGUCAACUUAGAUGUGGGCUCAAGAGUAUAAUGCUGAUACCAGAAAUAUUCAAUACAGGCUCUUUUGUACAGCUUGGGGUAUGAUCUUGGGUUUGAGCUUGAGGGCAACGGCGAUGUGGUUUUCUUGAUCAUGCGCAUUGUCCAACUACAAUGACAGAUGUAUCUUCCCUAUUUUUCUUUCCUCCAACACUUUCUGAACCCUUUUGAGUUGCUUGAGUAGUUGAUUUCAAUGUUGCAAAACUCACAAUGCGACCAGUCUUAAUUCUAUCAUCUCCCCCAUGUUAAGGAACUCAAUAAAUGGCCUACCUAAUGCAGGUAACAAGUACUGAUAAUAUGUUUCAUUUUGUGCUUAAAUAAAUACCUCCAAUAUCUUGCUUUCUAUAAUUUGCGAUGUUACCCUAGCAGCUUGGUCACGCCAUCUAAACACAUAUUCUCUUAAAUUUUCAGUACUCUUCUUCUUCAUAUUAGUUAGGAAUUUCUCAUCAGGAAUCAACACCACAUUGUAUUGAAAUUAUUGCAUAAAGUUAUUAGCUAGGUCAUCCUAACUAUUCAACUUAUCAAUGUCUUGGUUAACAAACUAUUUUAAAGCUAAGCCUGAAAAACUCUCACCUAAAUAAGCCAUUAGUAAUGCUUUCUUCCCUCCAGCACCCCUUAGUUGGGUACAAUAACGUCUCAAAUAGGCCACUGGGUCUCUAUGUCCGUCAUAUUUUUCAAAAUUUGGUAUUUUGAAACCAAGAGAGAGAUUAACACCUGGAAACAUACACAGAACUUUAUACGAUACACUUUUAUAACCCCCAAGCCCCUGCAAGUUUCUCAUGGCUUGUUCCAAACUUUUUACUUUUCUAGUCAUUUCAUUUUGUUCUUCUAUCACAAUGGGCUUUUCAGCAUUAAAAGAAAGUUCAAGCAGUUGAAUGUCGCCAUAAGGACCAGUCAACUUAGAUGUGGGCUCAAGAGUAUAAUGCUGAUACCAGAAAUAUUCAAUACAGGCUCUUUUGUAUAGCUUGGGGUAUGAUCUUGGGCUUGAGCCUGAGGGUAACGACGAUGUGGUUUUCUUGAUCAUGCCCAUUGUCCAACUACAAUAGCAGAUGCAUCUUCCCCAUUUUUCUUUCCUCCAACACUUUCUGAACCCUUUUGAAUUGCUUGAGUAGUUGUUUUCAAUAUUGCAAAACUCACAAUGCGACCAGUCUUAAUUCUAUCCUCUAUCAUCUCCCCCAUGUUAAGGACCUCAAUAAAUGGCCUACCUAAUGCAGGUAACAAGUACUGAUAAUAUGUUUCAUUUUGUGCUUGAAUGAAUACCUCCAAUAUCUUGCUUUCUGUAAUUUGCGAUUUCACCCUAGCAGCUUGUUCACGCUAUCUAAUCACAUAUUCUCUAAAAUUUUCAGUACUCUUCUUCUUCAUAUUAGCUAGGAAUUUCUCAUCAGGAAUCAAUUCCAUAUUGUAUUGAAAUUAUUGCAAAAAGUUAUUAGCUAGGUCAUCCUAACUAUUCAACUUAUCAAUGUCUUGGUUAACAAACCAUUUUAAAGCUAAGCCUGAAAAACUCUCACCAAAAUAAGCCAUUAGUAAUUCUUCCUUCCCUCCAGCGCCCCUUAGUUGGUUACAAUAACGUCUUAAAUAGGCCACUGGGUCUUUAUGUCUGUCAUAUUUUUCAAACUUUGGUAUUUUGAAACCAAGAGAGAGAUUAACACCUGGAAACAUACACAGAACUUUAUACGAUACACUUUUAUAACCCCCAAGCCCCUGCAAGUUUCUUAUGGCUUGUUCCAAACUUUUUACUUUUCUAGUCAUUUCAUUUUGUUCUUCUAUCACAAUGGGCUUUUCAGCAUUAAAAGAAAGUUCAAGCAGUUGAAUGUCGCCAUAAGGACCAGUCAACUUAGAUGUGGGCUCAAGAGUAUAGUGCUGAUACCAGAAAUAUUCAAUACAGGCUCUUUUGUAGAGAAGGGAGGCACAGAAGGUAGAUGCACAACAAAAGGAGGAGCUUUGGGUGGGUCUGGCACCACAAAAGUAUGAAUAACAAGUGGAGCUGAGUAUGUGGUAGUUUCGUGUUGAGGAUCUAGGAAAUGAAUAUUAGAAGUGUUGGGAUAAUAGUAUUGCUCCUGAGUGAAUCCUAGUGCAUGUUAAGGAGUGUCAACAAAAAUAGGGCAUUGUUCAUGUGACACUGAAGUCAAGAUAGAAAGAUAAUCCAGAUUAUCAGUGGGAAAUGGAGGACGCGGCAACCCAUUAGCCCAAGCUCGAUGUAUUUCUAUCAUUUGCUGCCUUAAUUUCUAAAUCUCUUCAUUAGCUCCUAAAUUCUCAUUCCUCAAACUCCCUAUCUAAUUAGUGACUACAACCUUAGUAUCCUUGUUGACCAUAACUUUCUUUUCAACUUGGUGCAAUAUGAAGUACCAGCCAAAAUGCCACAAACCAACCACCUUAAACUAACUGAACAAGAGAUAGAAAAUGUGUUUGAGUUCAACACUUCCUAAAAAAACUCAUUUUCUUUUAUCUUCUUUUAGAAAAGAUCACCGGCCCAAGAAGGGCACAUACGUAUCUCACUUUCGAGAGAGGAGAAUCAGGUAUGCCUAGUUCAUGAAGUUUUGACACAACAUGACCAAUCAAACUCUCUUUCUUUUUCUUAAAACUAAAUAACAAAUUAUAAAAAGAAUUGAUGAAAAUCUUUUUGUAUUUUUCAGCCUUAAAACUUCAAUAAAAAAUGAAACCUAUAAAUACAAAAGAAAAUCUUUUUGGUUUUUCGAUUUUGAAUUUCAGACGAAAAUGAAACUUGAAACUAUUAAAGGAAAUUUUUUUGUAGUUUUCUUUAAAAUAUGUAUAUGACACCUACUCUAAAUGAAGAGUGAAGAAAAUCUUUUUGGAUUUUCCAAAUAAGAUCACCGAACCUUAGAAGGGUUGCCUACGUAUCUCACUCUCGAAAGAGGAGAAUUAGGUGUGCGUAGUUCAUCCAGAUCAGACAAUUAAAGAUUAAACAAACUAAGCCUUGACUUAAGAGACACGACCAAAGACAGACAAUAAAAAAUAUGAAUAAAAUCUUUUUUGGGUUUUUAAUUUGACACUUCACAUAAAACUGACACCAACAACUAUGAAAGAAAAAAUCUUUUUGGUAUUUUCGUUUUAUAAAAUGUACAAAACUUCUACCAUCUUUUUUGCAUUUUUUCUUUUAUAAAAAGCUCCUAUUUAAAAAAAAUAUUUUUAAAUUUUCGAAUUAUGAAUGCCUACUAAGAGAACAAAAGAAAAAUCUUUUUUUAAUAUUUUUUUUUUUGAGAAAAUGAGUGAAAAAGGUAAAAAAAACUCGUUUUUUUUGAAUUUUUGAAUUGUAAAAAACAAAUGAAGAACUCUAAAAACUACGAAACUCUUUUUUUACUCACUUUUUCUUUCUUUUUCCUCUUUUUUUUUUGAAAUUUUCCUAGCCUAAACACAAUCUUUAAUUCUAUACAUUCUUUCCCCAAAUCAGUACGUCAAAUGACCCUGUUACCCUCAAAGAUGCAACAGUUAGCAUGUAGGGAUGCUUUAGGGGUCUCCUACAAAGGACUAAGCGGAUCCCCCUAGGUCUCAAUAUGAUGCAGAUAAGAAUGACCUAAAGGCUGACCGAGGUUGGGGUUCACUAACAAAGCUGUUCGAUGGAGCGUAUGAUCGAUAGUAGCUACGACAACUUUCCACCUUCUCCGUACACCCAACGACCUUUCUCCUAAAAUAAGGGUGACUCAACUAAAGGUUGUGUACACACGUGUACUAUGUGAUUUGUUGCAAAAAAUGACUUGAGAUAAUGCACAUGAUGCCAGAUAUAAAACGGUAAAACAUAAGAGAAAAACUAUAAACACGUAGCACGUAAGCACUCAACAAUGAUAAAACAAUAACACCAAUAAUAAUAGAAUGUCUAUACACCUAUAGUGUCAAAUUAAGUCAAUACAACUCAAAAAUAAGCUUGAAUUCUAGAAAACUUCUCUAGCAGAGUCACCAGAGCUGUCAUACCCCUCUUUUUUUUUUACCAAAAAAGGAUAUAAUUAAGUUUGAAAAGGGUAUCAUAAUUAAAAAUGACAAAAAGGAACAAAAUAUGUUUAGGAAAGGAUUUUAAAAUUUGAAUUCAGAGUCGCCACUUGAAAUAGAUUUGGUGUGCCAAGUCACCUUUAGAAAUCCUUUUCAAAAUCAAUUUGACUCUCAAAAACUGAUCUGCAAAUAGAGAUUCUGAUUAAGGAAUUAUGUAGACUGAAGGAAGUUGUUAGGCAUCCCUCGAUCCUGUGGUUCUAGCAUGGUCGCUUCUUGACUUGUAUCGGCUAAUAUGACAUCAUGAAGUGAAUAAACCACAUAAAACACACAAAAUGAAUAAACAAAGAAACCACAUAAAACAAAUCCAAAAAUUAGUGUCCAGUCUAAUUAUUACAGUCCAAAACAAAAAUGCUAAAAUAAACCUAUACUAACCCUGAACUAUGCUCUACCUGAUGCCUCGGGGCAUUUCCCGGCUAAAUGAAUACAUUCUUUCAAUGAAAGAAAAUCAAAAUCAUUUAACAAAUAUUUCAAACAUUCAACGACCACAAUCCCUAUGUUUUGCCUACCUGACCUACCGUUUGCUUACUCAUUUCGAUUUAUGAUACAGGACAAAGAAGACUCUUAAAUUUUGAGGACAUGAUUGGAGGCCAAUGCAUUGAGACCCGAUCUUGGGAGAUACCCAACCAAGAAGGACAAGCCUUGAAGUGUCAAGAGGACAUUUCAAAAUACUCCAAGCCUACCCAAUUCUACAUGCCAAAGCAGCCCCUUUGCCAUGGCUCAUUAAGGGAAUUUUAGUAGUUUUGUAAUAAGUUGUAACCCAGAUUAUAAAUAGAAUAUGAUAGGUUAUUUAGUCCACAACUUUGAUGAUAUAUUUGAGAACUCUAGAGAGAGUCUUGCAAGGUGGAUUCCUUGUAAAAUGUGGAAUCACUUGUGUUGGUAGUUAGUUUGAGACGUUGAUUGCUUGGGGAACCCAUUCUCUUGAAUUCACGUAAGAGAUAGGUUUAUGUUGUGUGUGGUAUUAAAGGUCCUAGAGUGGAAUAAGAUCUUGGGUUGUUAAUAUUAUACCAUCCAUUUGUCUAUCUUCCUAUCUUUGUCUUUUUGUAAUCUUGUAACCGAUUCUAUGUUGUUAUUGUAAAGUCGUGCACGUGUUGUUGUUCUUCACAUUGUUAUUUUUCAUUUUUAUCUUCAUAAAUUAUUGUUAACAUUAGCUGUGGUUCGGGUUUUGGUGCCAAAGACACCACUAAUUCUUGUAUUCUUGUUGUUGGUAGCGAAUUCGAGAGUGGUCUCUUUCUUGGUCCUCGAAUCCUUAAGAUUAUGGACUGAUUUGGUGUAUAUUUUUGUGUCUUCCUUAUCGAUUUUGUAUCAAUUUAUCAAGAUUCUAUCACAUUCAACAUCAUCAAUGAAUCAUAAUUAAUCCAAAUACACUUUAUCGAGAUUAACCCCUCCCAAAUUUAUUUUCAACCACACGAUUAACCAAUUUCAAUAUAGAAUCAAUCCAUCAGGUCACGACAAUUAUAAAAGCUCAAAUAUACUCAAAACACACUACCAAAUCACAUUAUCAACCACGCUGAGAGAAUAAAAAUGAGUAGAGUUGAGAAUUGAACCUUAAAAGAAUCUUUCAAAAUUAAAGUAUUAUUCUGAUUUAAAGGUAGAAUCUACUUCUGAUAACCAUAACUCAAACCUCAACCAAUGAAACUGCAUCUCGAUACGAACCACCAAAUUGACAAUUCGAUCUCAAACUUUGUUCUGCCCAAACCCGAUUAUUUUUUAUCUAUUUUUGACGUCGACAUUGACAAGUAUUAUUAUUUUUUGGUGGAUUUCACCGGAAGUUGGAAAUGGGAGUCGGAUUAUGAUGUUUUUUGGUGGGUUUUGCCACUGAUUUUUGAUGUAUUUUGAAAUAGUAUGGAGCUGUUUUACUAUUCUCUACUUUGCCAGAGCUCCGACAAGAUCAACAGUAGCGAGAAUCAAAGAAAUAAACUGGUGGUAGCAAAGUUUUUCAAUGAAAACUCAUCGGAAAAAUCUCUCUCACAUUUUCUCUCUGUUUCAUUCUAUUCUCUCUUUUUUUCCUCGAUUUCAAUUCUCUUCUCCGAUGGGGUGUGUAGUUAUGAACUGUGUGUGCAUAUGUCAACAAAAAAUUGAAUUGCGUGUGUAUUCCUCUAAUCUCCACAUCUGUGUGUGCCUAUAUUGGUGUGUUAGUGUUGUGUGUGAAUUUUUUGUGGAUAUUGAAGCUAUGAGAGUGAAUUUAUGUAUGUGAAUCAGUGUAUUUUGAGUAUAUGUGUAGUGAGGUAAGUCUGUGAGAAUUGUGAGAGAUUUUUUUUUUGGGUAUUUGUGAGGUGUAUAUAUUCUAUUGUGUGUGUUUGUUGUGAGUAUUAUGUUUUUAUAUAUGUUCCAGUGAGUGUGAGUGUGUAUAUGUACAACUUUCUGUAUAUGAGAUUUAAGGGGUGUGUUUAUUAUAUGGUGUAUUUUUGUUAAUGGAAUGGUGAGCUAAAAAAAAGUUUUCCUCAUUCUAUUAUUGGAAGUGUGUGUGUAAAAUGUGAGGGGGUAAGAACGUGAGUAGGAGUGGGAUAGGGGUAGGUUGUUAUUUUUUGUUAUGAAUUUAUUGAGAAUUGAUUGUUCUUUUGUGGAAAAAUUAUCACAUGGGGGUAAGGUUCAAGGUAAGACGAUGGUAAAUGCCAAAAAGUUCUCUUUUGGGAGGGAAAAAAUUAUGUGUCUACAGAUAAAGAUUAUAAAAGAAAAGAUCAAAGAUCAAAGAACUUACGCAACUUCAAGAAAGAAUCUCAGUGUGUCUCAAUCUUAGUCUCACAAAGCUUUGUACUUCUUAGUUUACAAUAGUUAUACAAAGAAUAAGAUUGAUUCAAUUUUAUAAUAUAAACUGAGGCCGUUUCACAAGAUCUGAAAAAUAAAAUAAUUCUUCAGGACUUGUUUACCACCAUUGUACUCGAGCUCCACUUUGAUAGAUCUAAGAAAACUUUAAAACCCAAGGGGACUGAAAGUAGGCACCACAUUGGUAUUCUGAACUAGGAUAAAUCUUUGUGUUUUCUAUUUCAAGUUGUUUAUUUACUUAUCUACUUAUUUAAAUCUAAUCUGGUUUGUGAAGUAUAUUGAUUUGCAGGAUAGUCGAUUGAGAAGACUCAACAGUUGACUCAUAGAAAUUUUUAAUUCACCCCCCAUCUCUUGAACUUCAUAUAUAACGUUGAUACACUUUUAAACAUUAUAUAUACAUAUGCAUAUAUUUGUAUAAUUUUGUAUAUUAUUGUGUAAUUGUAUAUAUACCCCUGAUAUAUACAAAAUUAUAAGAGUUGUAUAAUAUAUGCAUAUACAGUACUAUACAAAUAUUAUACAAAAAUUUUGAAUUUUUCUUCUUUAUUUAUUCAAAAAAAUAAAUUAACCUUGCCAAGCUCGAAACACUCAAAAUAAAGUUUAUUUGUCUAUUUCAUUUCCCCAAUACAUACUCAUUCUUUUGAAUCAACACACACUUGAAACAAAGCUUGUUUGCAAAAUCGAUGGAUCACUUGAUACGAGAAUUUCUAGCUCGAGACCUUUCACACGAAGCCAAGCGCGUGAGUUGCAACGACUCCAAGCCUUGUUCACAUCCUUGGCCUUGUGUGAGGCCCUUAUGAGCCCAUCCAAGGGCCUAUACUUAUUAAAAUAUGAAGAGGCCCAACAAAAUACCCCAAACCCACCCACUUAAUGCCAAGGGUAUUUUGGUUUUUUGUCCCUCCUUUGUAAUUGACUAUACAAGUCAUUUGUUAGGGCUAGUCUUGUGGUAGUUCAUUCAUGAUAUUUUGAGAACUCAAGACUUGUAAUAUUUUGAACUUUUCUCUUUCAUUGGAGAAGCUCAAAACUGAAAUUCCCAAUUGGAGUGACACUUGGGUUGAAUCUUGGCUAGAAACUAGGAUCUUGAGGUCAUUGAGUUCCUCUUGGUCUAAUUAAGAGCUUGGUGAUAAUAUUCUUUAAUCUUAGGGUCCUUUCAUGUUGUUAGGGUUCUUAGAUUCUUGAUUAUUAUAUGUCAAGUUACUAUCUUUAAUUUUGUAAUCUUGUUGUUUGUGUGGUAACAUAGUGAAGCCGUGUGGGGCUAUUUUCGAUUCACUAUAGUUUAUGCCACUUUGUUUCUCUUGUUGUUGUCAUUGUAAUCUAUAUCAUCUUGUCAUUUUUGUAAAUCUUGAAGUCUAGUGAAGCCGUGUGUGGCCUAUUUCGAUUCACUGGCAUUGUUGUUGUUUAUCUUGUUAUUCUUGUGUUGGCUUGACUCUCUUGAUACACACUCGCUUUUGUAUCAUUUAGUAUCAAAUCCAUAUUCGAUUUUGUUUUAACAAGAUCAAUCUUGGUCUUGGUACUUGAAAACUACAAAAAAAAACUGAAAACUAAAAAAUUCCAGAAACAGUCAAAUCUGUCCGUUGUUGUGUUCUUGAUCAAAAAUUGUAUUCUUGUUGUGUCUUGGCAAGAUUUUUAAUUGUCUUGAGUGUUGUUUCUAGUUUUAGUUCUCUUGUUCACUAAAACUUUGAGUCGAUCUAGAUUUGAACUCUAAAAAUUGAUGUUGUUAUUGUGAACUUGAACUUGGCUGUCCAUUGUUGAACAUUGUUGUUGUGGUGGAUUGUUCUGGCCGUGGUUGUUGUUGGUUGUUGUUGGUGUUCUUGUUGUUAUUCACCCUUUUCAUCUUUGUUAAAACAAAAAGUGAACAUUAGAUCCACAAAAGGUGAAACACCAAGUUGUAGUAUUUGUUGAUGAAAGACUUGAUCACAUCACUCAAAAGACUUGACAACCACUUUUCACCUAUUUUCCUUGAUUUAAGGACUUGUUUCAAGGAGAAAGUACCAAGAAGUUAAAGUCUUGUAUUAAACUUGAAAAGGAAGCUUCAAUACCAAAUUUCCCUCCAUUAACCAAUUCCACCAUUUCCAAAUUAUAGAUUGGUCAAGAAUUGAAAUUGGAGACUAAAAUUCUGACAAAAUCGAGGCCAAUAGUGGACUGCCACAUCACUAAAUUACUGUUCACACAAUAUUUUGAGUUCAAAUUUUAGAUUUCUUAGUUUCAUUUUAUUGUUUCUUAGUUUCGUUUGUUGGUUCGAACACUAAUUGACAACCUAAUACAUUCCUACUAGCUUGUUAAUUAGUCCUUUGAAGCUUUGUGUUCAUGUCAACGUUUGUUUGUGUGCUUUUGUCAUUUGAAUACGUUGUAACUCUUGGCUUUAGUCCGACAAGAAUUCUUUGAGUUUCCAACAAAAAUCCACUCCAAACAAGAGCAUACUCAUACCUUAAUGAUUCUACUAGCCAAUUUACAACACUUGUGGAGCUCGAGUGUGAGUGAACCAAAAGAGUGUGAGUGAGGAGAGGGAUUUUUAACUAACUUAUUUGUUGUUUGUGUAGGUGAUACCUUGACAAUGGAGGNNNNNNNNNNNNNNNNNNNNNNNNNNNNNNNNNNNNNNNNNNNNNNNNNNNNNNNNNNNNNNNNNNNNNNNNNNNNNNNNNNNNNNNNNNNNNNNNNNNNNNNNNAAGUGACGACUAUUAGUGGGAGGUUAGAACAAGUGGAGAGUCAAAGGAACUCUCGUCCUUCUAAUCCUCGAAAUGUUUCAUCAAGUGGACAUGAUAGAAAUUCCUCCGCCACUAUUACUCCCGAAACAUGGCCACAAUUGCCAAUUUCUUCAUUAGCUCCCCUAAAUGCCGCAAGCCAAACCACUCAUAACAUUCUAAAUCGAGACUCCAAUAGACCAACCCAUUCCCAAAUACCUCAAGUUCCGCAAGAGGUACUCGGACGUCAACUGCCUCCACAAAACCCAAACCCCCUUUCCAAGCUCCACUAAACCAAAGACCACCACCUCCAUAAAAUCCAAUUCCUCCGAAUCAAGUUCCAAAUGACCAAAACCAUCCCAUCCACCUUGAGGAAUAUGGUAGAGGGUAUUAUGAAGGGUAUGGAGCCUUUGAAGAUGCCUACAUGAGGAAAGAGGAGAUGAGAGGGGGUCAUACGAAUCCAAAGAGAUACUGAGGGUAUGGAGAAAGGGGAAAUCGACACCUAGAGAGAGAUGUGGGCAUCAAUACCAUCAAAUUGAGUCUACCUAUCUUUAAGGGUGAAAGUGACCCCGAGGUGUAUCUCGCUUGGGAAUUAGCGUGUGACAAGGUAUUCCAAGAGAAUGAUAUUUCAAAGAAGAAGAAGAGUUGUUAUGCCAUAGCCCACUUUGAAGGCUAUGCUAACACUUGGUGGGAAUACAUCAAUCGAUUUGGCAACGAGUUGAUAGAUGGGCAACCACCACCAUGGUUUCGAUUAAGGUAUCUAAUGAGGCAAUGGUACCUUUUCGAAAGUUAUCGUCAUGAGUUGUUUGCGAGGUUGUACAACUUACGACAAGGGAAUCGAAAUGUUAUGGCAUACUAUGAUGAGUUUCAAUAACUCAUGUUGAAGCUUGACCAUCGAAGAGAACAAAUCGGCCAUGACAUUAUUCGGUUCAAGUGUGGGUUGAAUAAGGAGAUUGCUACUCACUUGACUCUCCAUAAAUUUGAUACCGUUGAAGGCAUCUUUUAAGCGAUCGUUGAAAUUGAAAGAGAACUUAAGGAAAGAACAAGUUACAAAGCCAAGGGUCAAGCACCCUCGGGUUGGCCGAGGGGUAAGGAGGUUGCUUCCUCCACCACGGGUUGGCACAAAAACAAAGACCAACCCACCACUACAAGGCAACCCGAGGCCAAGGCAAUGGAAAAAUAUCCGCCAAGGCAAGAGGCUCACAAGUAUCCUAAUCCUAAGGGGUUCCAAUGUUUCAAGUGCCAAGGUUGGGGACAUAAAGCUCAUGAAUGUCCAAACCGACGCAAUGUGAUCCUAAGGUAAGGAAGAUUGUAUUACCUUGGUGAGGAAGUGGGUCUUAAAAAUGAAGAGAAUAAGGCCAAGCCUCAAGAUGGAAAGGAACCCAAAAAUGAGCCACAUGAUGAUGACAAUGAUUGUGAAGAUGCAUAUCCACAAGAAGGGGAGUGUGUGGUUCCAAACUUUGUAGUGAGGCAUGCUAUAAUUAGUAAGGCGAUAGAUGAUCCUAGCCAACGGGAGAAUCUAUUCCAUACUAAAUGUCUUGUGAAGGGAAGUGUGUGCACUAUGGUGAUAGAUAAUGGAAGUUGUGCGAAGGUGGUUAGUGUUGCAAUGGUGAACUUCUUGAAAUUGCCGACUACACCUCACACUAGUCCUUACAAGUUACAAUGGUUGAAUGAAUGCAGCGAGUUAAAGGUCACAAGGCAAUGCGUGAUACGUUUUAAGGUAGCAAACUACCAUGACGAGGUGCUUUAUGAUGUGAUACCAAUGCAAUAUUGUCACUUGUUGUUAGAAAGGCCUUGGCAAUACGAUAGGUUGACCAAACAUGAUGGAAGGUCCAAUCAAUAUACACUUGAGAAGAUAGCUGAAAGGUUGCUCUUCAUCCAUUAUUGCCUUCCCAAGUGAAUGAAUUACACCAAAAGAUGCAGGAAUUGAGGAAGAAGGGAAAGAAGGCCGAUAGUGAGGGGAAAAGAGGGGAAUCUGAGAGUGAGAGAGUAGGAGAAACCGAGGAGCUCCUAAUUUCUAAGGGAAAAGGGAGUGUGGUGAUGAUGUCUAGGAGGAAAGAACUAUUUAUGGAUCAUGACGAGGACACUCCGAUGCUUCUCUUGGCUCAUUAUUUUAAUACUAACCCCAGUAACGUUUCCAUUUCUCCUCCUAUUUCUCAUGUUGUGCAGGAUUACGAAGAUGUCUUCCCAAAGGAAUUACUAUAAGAAUUGCCCCUACUUCGGGAAAUUGAGCAUCAAAUAAAUUUUGUGCCGGGUUCACAAUUGCCCAACAAACCGUCUUAUAGGAGCAACCCGAUGGAUACCAAGAAAUUGCAAUGCUAAGUUGAGAAAAUCCACAACAAAGGGUAUAUCAAGGAGAGUAUGAGCCCUUGUGCGGUCCCGGUGCUACUAGUGCCCAAGAAAGAUAGGACUUGGCGUAUAUGUGUUGAUUGCCGAACCAUUAAUAAGAUAACGGUAAAAUAUCGUCACCCUUUCCUAGGUUAGAUGAUAUGCUUGAUGAAUUGAAUGGUUCGUGUUUGUUUUCUAAAAUUGAUUUAAGGAGUGGCUAUCACCAAAUUCGUAUGCAACCGGUGAUGAAUGGAAAACCGCCUUCAAGACCAAAUUCAGUCUCUAUGAAUGGAUGGUUAUGCUAUUCGGCCUAACAAACGCUCCAAGUACUUUCAUGAGGCUAAUGAAUCAUGUGAUGAAGCCAUUUAUUGGAAAGUUUGUUGUUGUAAUACUUUGAUGAUGUGUUGGUGUAUAGUAAGUCCUUAGAUGAGCAUGUAAAACAUUUAUAAUGUGUGUUUGAUGUCCUUCGAAAGGAGAAGUUAUAUGCCAAUCUAGAAAAGUGUUCUUUUGGUGUCCAUGAGGUUGUAUUUCUUGGGUUUGUGAUGAGCUCAAGAGGGGUCGAAGUGGAUGAAUCUAAGAUUGACACCAUUAAAAAUUGGCCAACCCCCAAAACCAUAGGUGAAGUGAGAAGCUUCCACGUGUUGGCUAGUCUUUAUAGACGUUUUGUCAAAGGAUUUAGCACCAUUUCCGCCCCCUUAACCGAAGUGAUUAAAAAGGAUCGACCUUUCAAGUGGGGAAAUGAACAAGCUAGGACCUUCGAUGACUUAAAAGCUAUGCUCAUCUUGACCCCUUUGCUACAAUUGUCGAAUUUUGACAAGACUUUUGAGGUCGAAUGCGACACUAGAAAAGUCGGCGUAGGUACGGUUCUAAUGCAAGAAUUGAAGCCUAUUGCCUACUUUAGCGAAAAGCUCAAAGGAGCAACUCUAAACUACUCUACGUAUGAUUUAGAGUUGUAUGCCUUGAUUAGAGCCUUGGCCACUUGGCAACAUUAUUUGUGGCCUAAAGAAUUCGUGAUCCGAACGGAUCAUGAAUCCUUGAAGAAUCUACGGGCACAAGACAAAAUUAACCGGCGGCAUGCCAAAUGGAUUGAAUUUCUUGAAACUUUCCCUUAUGUUAUUCAUUACAAGAAGGGUAAAGACAAUGCGGUUGCCGAUGCUUUGUCUCAAAAACAUGUGCUUGUGUCUACUUUGUCAUCUAAGUUGAUGGGGUUUGAAAGCCUCAAGUCUUAAUAGCCCGAGGACCCUCACUUCACUCCUAUCUAUAGGGAAAGUGAAGAGUUGGAUAGGGAUAAGUGGGUUACGGAUAGAGGUUCCCAUCCUUAUACCAAAUUUGAUGGAUACUUAUUUAAGUGUAGACGAUUGUGUGUUCCCUUAAGUUCGUAGAGAGAAUUGUUUGUGAGAGAAGCAUACAAUGGCGGUCUAAUGGGCCAUUUUGGGGUCGAGAAGACCCUCGGAAUUUUGGAAGAAUAAUUUUAUUGGUCUAGAAUGCACAAGGAUGUGGUCCAGAUUUGUGGCCAAUGUAUUGAGUGCAAAGGAGCCAAGUCACGGCUCCAACCCCAUGGAUUGUACACCCCGCUGUCCACCCCUUUGCAUCCUUGGCUUGACAUAACAAUGGACUUCGUGUUGGGAUUACUGAGAACUAAAAGAGGGUGGGAUAGUACUUUUGUUGUGGUGGAUCAGUUUUCCAAGACGGCUCACUUUAUUCUUUGUUCUAAAUGUAAUGAUGCACCUAGUGUAGCCUCUUUGUUUGUUGAUAAUAUUGUAAAACUUCAUGGUGUUCCGAGGACCAUAGUGAGUGAUAGAGAUUCUAAAUUUCUAAGCCACUUUUGGAAGUCUAUGUGGGGUAGGCUCGGUACUAAGUUGUUGUUUUAGACUUCAUGCCACCUACAAACCGAUGGUCAAAUAGAAAUAGUAAAUAGGACCUUAGGGUCUAUGCUAUGGUCCAUGGUUAAGGUAAAAAUGACUUCUUGGGAGGAGCAAUUACCGUUGAUUGAGUUUGCUUAUAAUCGUGUUAUACACUCAAGAACAGGGAUGACACCCUUUGAGUGUGUAUACGGCAUCAACUCCCUUACCCCUUUGGAUUUAACCCCUUUACCAAGUGAUCUUGUGAUAACCUUAUAUGUAAGCAAAUGGACCGAGGCCAUGAAGAAGCUACAUGACAAGGUAAGGUUGCGGUUGGAGAAGAAAAACCAAGAAGUUGCAAGGCGAACCAACAAAGGAAGAAGAAAGCUCAUUCUUGAACCGGGAGAUUGGGUGUGGGUGCACCUAAGGAAGGAUAGAUUCCCAUCUAAAAGGAAUGCUAAGUUGAUGUCGCGGGGUGAUGGCCCAUUCCAAGUAUUAGAAAGGAUCAACGACAACGCCUACAAGAUUGAUCUACCCCCGGAAUAUCAAAUGCACAACACUUUCAAAGUGUGUGACCUCUCUCGGGUGGAAACAGUGGAGGAUGGCAAUGAUCCAAAUUUGACGACAAAUUCCCUUCAAGAUGGAAAGGAUGAUACGAGAAUUCCUAGCUCGAGACCUUUCACAUGAAGACAAGUGCGUGAGUUGCAACGACUCCAAGCCUUGUUCACAUCCUUGGCCUUAUGUGAGGCCCUUGUAAGCCCAUCCAAGGUCCUAUACUUAUAAAAAUAUGAAGAGGCGCAACAAAACAAACCAAACCCACCCACUUAAUGCCAAGGGUAUUUUGGUUUUUUGUCCCUCCUUUGUAAUUGACUAUACAAGUCAUUUGUUAGGGCUAGUCUUGUGGUAGUUCAUCCAUGAUAUUUUGAGAACACAAGACUUGUAAUAUUUUGAACUUUUCUCUUCCAUUGGAGAAGCUCAAACCAAAAUUCCCAAUUGGAGUGACACUUGGGUUGAAUCUUGGCUAGAAACUAGGAUCUUGAGGUCAUUGAGUUCCUCUUGGUCUAAGUAAGAGCUUGGUGAUAAUAUUCUUUAAUCUUAGGGUCCUUUCAUGUUGUUAGGGUUCUUAUAUUCUUGACUAUUAUAUGUCAAGUUACUAUCUUUAAUUUUGUAAUCUUGUUGUUUGUGUGGUAACAUAGUGAAGCCGUGUGGGGCUAUUUUCGAUUCACUAUAGUUGAUGCCACUUUGUUACUCUUGUUGUUGUCAUUGUAAUCUAUAUCAUCUUGUCAUUUUUGUAAAUCUUGAAGUCUAGUGAAGCCGUGUGUGGCCUAUUUUGAUUCACUGGCAUUGUUGUUGUUUAUCUUGUUAUUCUUGUGUUAGCUUGACUCUCUUGAUACACACUCACUUUUGUAUCAAAACUAGACGUAUCUCUCACUUUCAAAAAUUACACAAAUAUCAAACGCGAUACAAAGGGUUUACACCAAGAAGAAAGGAAAAGAAAACUAUAGAAGGAUACUGCAGAAGUUAUAUAUGGUCUGGAGUAAAUUCAAUCACAAAGAGGUCACUAGUUGCAUAGGACAAACUGUGUACACCUAGAUCUUGUGGUGGACUUAAUCUCACUAAUCUAAAACUCUGGAACAGAUCUGUCAUAUCUAAGAGUGGUUGGGAUUUGGCUCAUAAGGAAGAUAAGAUAUGGAUACGAUGGAUUCACUCCUACUACAUUAAGGGCCAAAACUUUCUCACAAUGCCAAUUCCAAAGCAGACGAGCUGGCUGGUGAAGAAAGUAAUUGAAGUCAGAAGGAGUUGGAGCUAUAUACCAUUCACUACCGAACAAACGCAGCUCAGCUUUAUUAGAAAGGUUUACUUAUAGUUGUUUUGUAACCUACCUCGAUUCCCUUGGAAAAGCUUGAUGUUUCAAAAUGCUGCUAGGCCAAAAGCUUUAUUUACAAUGUGGUUGUACCUACAAGGCAAGUUGUUGACUGUGAAUAGACUUAUAAAAUGGAAGAUUGAAGCAGAUCCUAUGUGCUCUUAAUUCAAAGAUGCCAUGGAGAAUCGAAAUCACAUCCUAGUAAACUGUGUUGUUAUAAAAGAAGUAUGGGGUAAAAUAUUAAAGUAGAUGGGCAAAUAAACUGUGAUAUCAUCAGAUUGGGAUCAACAUAUGCAGUGGAUACUGCGACAUGGAAAAGGUAGAACUAUUGUUGCCCAGGUAUUUCGAAUGAUUUUUGCAGAAACUUGUCAUGCUAUAUAGAGUGAGAGAAACAACAAGCUGCAUGAUAAUAGAAGAAGGACUACAGAAACCAUUGCAAGAGAGAUAGCAUAUGUCUACACUGUAAGAGCUCCACUUAAAACUCAGUUGUUAAUUAAUUCAUGGAGAAUGUAAGUACGGAUGAAAAUAUUUUAGCAAAAUUAUGGUAACUGAGGUGAGCAAAAAGGGUGCUACUAUAGGCCUCUAUCUAACUUCUUAUGAUAUACUGGAUAGAUUUUUCUUUUUUUGAACUUAGCAUUUUGUGUAUAGUAUGAAUAUAGAUUUGUAAUGCUCAAUGGUGAUUAAUAAAAAAAUUGUUAGUUUCUUCUCUCUCAAUAUCAACCUCCAUGAACACCACCUCACUUUACUCUUAAAUUCCACAACACCAAAAAACCAAAUAGCUCCCUCCAUUACUCAAUUUUUCAAUUUCUCUAUUUUAAUUACACCCAGCAAACAACAUAAUUCAAUACGUGCCAUUAACUCUGCCCGGUGAAAAAUAUCAAUUAAACUCAUUUUUUGUCCCUUUCAGAGAAUUGACGCACAUCCACAACAACGAUCUUCCUCCACUAACCUUUUCAAAACCCCAUCGAAAUACCUCCAUUAAUAAUAAUAUACUCCUCCAUUCUCACUCACUAAUUUGACAAAAACAACCUCACUGAAAUAAUCAUCGAAAUUCCCACAAUUUCAUCACCACAAUUGUCUAACACCAACCCAAAUCUCUAAAAGAUUUCCUUUACAUACUCAACACCAUUAACGACCAAACAUCUGUAAGGUACAAGAUGAAAUGGGAGAUAUGUGUGUGAGAGUAAUAAUUUGACUAAGAAUGUAAAGUAACUUUCUUUUUAAUUCAAUUGAGCCACAUUUGGUAAUGUAACAUGGAGUGAAUUAUAUUCUGUAAUGUAACAUUAGUAGUUGCAUUUAUUUUGUAGUUUUUCCUACUUAAAAAUUGAAAUCUCAUAUUGUUAUAUUCAGUGUUUACUAUCGGUCAAUAUUUAGUAUUUGUGCUAGGGUACUAAUAUCUACAAAUUACAUAUAUACACAAGGUAACUUUACCUUAUUACAUAAAAUCUCAUAUUGAAAAAGAAAUUACAAAAAUCCCAAAGUAAUUACUUAAAUCCCUUAAAUUCACUCUUUCUCUCUCAUCCCCCUCAUACAUAUCAAAAUACCAUAUUUUGCUCCUAUUUUAGUGCACUGAUUUUUGCUCCAUAUAUGUGCUCCUUUAUUUACGUCUACAAUCAAGCUAAUGUAAUAUUAAUACUCUCUCAUCCCCCUUCUAUUUGCGUCACUUUUAUAAUUGGAAUUGAAGAUGUACACUUUCAAUUCACGUAAUAAAGAAAAUUGAAUCAUUCUUUUUCCUUAUUAUCAUCUAGCCAAUGUAAUGUUAUAAUAACACUAAUUUUUUCUUAAAAUUAUUAUAAUCUUGUAGAUAAUUAAUGUAUAAGGUGAAUAUUUUAUAUGUAUAGUGUGAUAUUAUAUAUUUUGAAAGAUUAUAUUUUAAUGUAUAAAUUAUAAUAUAUCAGACAUUAUACAUUAUUUAUUUUUGGAAGACUAAUGUAUAAUAUAAUUCUUCUACUAUACAUUUCAUUAUGUUAUACAUUAAAAAGUUCUUAUUACAUUUAAGAGGCAUUUUAUGUAUUAUUUGAUAUUAUACAAUUAGAAAGUAUUAAUAUUGUAUAAAGUUACAUUAUACCUUCUGAUAAGGAUAUAGAAGUAUACAUGCUUAAUGUUAAUACUUAAAUGUAUAGUAUGACAUUAUACAUUACAGCAAAUUAUUUUUUAAAUGUAUAAUGUGCCCACAUGUAUGUGCAACUAUUGUAUAAUGUUAUCUUUUAAAUUUCAGCUUAUCUGUUAUUUGCAUUGAUUCAGUAAAUACAUCACAUAUUGAAUAAUAAAAUUGAAUAUAUCAACUGUAUUUGGAUAUAUAUUAUUCUCAUUUAACUAUUUUGUUAACUAAUAUUUAUUUUUUUUCAUGGAUUUUAAAUUAUUUAUAAUAAAUUUAUAUGAUUCUGUGAAUGAAAGAUAAUUUCUUUCGUCAAAACAUACUUUGAAAAUCAAUUUUAUAGGAGUUUAAUGGAUUAUAUCAGUGUGAACACAAAUAAUCCAUAGGUAUUAAUAUUACUCCUACUAAAGUAAAGGAAAGAGAAUGAAAAAUAAAUACUCCCACUAGAUUUUAUAUUAUUUUAUGUUGUUGUUACAUAAUUUUUAAAAAGGUUUUAAUUAAAAUUAUAUUUUAUCAUUAUUUAUGUAAUUUAUUACUACUAAAAAUAAUAUAAGAAUGAAAUAAUAAGACUUUUUUAUCUGUUAAAAAGAAUAAACAACAUAAAAUAUUAUAAAUGAGAACAAUUAAUAGUGCUGAUUAAGAAUUUUUUUGAAUUGAAAUCUCAGUUACUAUAUUUAAUCAUACACCACACAAUGAUAGAUAAUUAAUUGCGUUAAUUAAGGUAGAGAAAGAUAAUAUCUGAUUUCUCUUUCCAUAAAAAUAGGCAAAUUUGUUUUAUCAUACAUUGCAGCAAUGUAUAAGACGCUACCUAAUGUAUAAGUAUAUUUUACAAAUUAGGCAGAGAGAAAGCCUAACGAAAUUAUAUAUAAAUACUUUCACUAUAGAAGGGAUUUAUGUGGUUUAUACUACUAAUAUUUCUCUUUUUAGAUUUGGUUAUUAUUUUUUGUUGAUUAUAAGUUGAUUUCUUUGGACCAAGAUUAUAAGUUGAUUUCUUUGGACCAAACUAUCAUUUGAAAUCCAUUUCAUUUGAAAAAAAUAAAUAAUAAUAAGACAAUAGUAGAUUGCACAAAAUUAUUUAAUUGAUUAUUUGUGUUCUCAUUUAAUAAAUAUUUAAUUGAUUAUUUGUGUUCUCAUUUAAUAAAUAAUGUAUAAUAUAAUUGUAUUAAGAUCGCAAUGGAUUACAUAAAAUCAGAAAAUUAAUUUCAAUUAAAUAGAAUCAAUUUUGUGAUCAUAAUAUAAACUCAAGUGGCUUAAAUUUAAUAUCGUAAAUUUCAAAUAAAUUUACGACUAAAAUAGUAGUCAAUAUUAAGUGUUCUUUACCACAAUAUGUAUAUCAGUUAUGAAAUUCUACAUAUACUUACUAUUAAAAUAGUUGUCAAUAUUAACUAAUUUUCACCUUGAUUUAAUCUGAUUAAUUUGAUUAUAGUAAAAUUAAUAUUACAUUACAUAUUUACUUCCUAUAAAUCUAUCCUAAUUUUAUAAUUACGGAAGCAAUUAUUUUUUCCGUUGUUACAUAUGUACUUCCCAAAAAUUUCUCCUAUUUUUAAAAUUUGAUUAUAUUUAUUACCUCUAUAAUUACGGAAAGGACUCGACAAAAAAAAAAUUAAAUUUUCCUAAUUACAUAUUUACUUCCCAUGAAUAUCUCAUAUUUUUAUAGUUUGAUUAUAAUUAAUUGAUUAUUAAUUAUCUUUAUGAUUUUGGAAAAGACUCAAAUAAGGUAGCAACUGUUUUUUUCCUAAUUACUGAUAUACUUCUCAAAAAUCUCUCCUAACUUUAUAAAUUGGUUAUAGUUAAUUAAUUAUUUAAUUGUCUCUAUAAUUUUGGUAAGAACUCAAAUAAGAUUAUAACUAUUUUCCCCUAAUUACGGAUCUUCUUAUAUUUAUUCAUUUAUUAUUUCUUUAUAAAAAUAGGUCAAUCUUAAUUGCAAUUAAAGUUGAAAUAUUAUUUGUUUUUAAAAUGUGAAGUGGCUAGUUCUCAUGAUAUUACUUGGUUUAACCUCAGCUAGAUUGUCAACAACAACAACAAAAAAACUCAUCUAGGUACUCUCCUCUUUUAUUAGGUAUAUAAAAAAUUAUUUUUUCCAUUAAUAAAACUAUGAUAAUGUAGCUUUGUGGAGUGCGAGGAUUGCUUAGUUGAUGGUUGAGCACCAAUCAAAUCCCUUGAUUUCUGUCUAAGGGGUUCAAAUUUUGAAGAAAAGCUAGCAAAAAGAGGUGCACAUCUAUAAUAUAUAGAUAAAGAAUUAUUUUAAUCAUUUAUUAAUAGUAUAAUUUUUUGUCUUAAAGGGUUAGGGGUUCGGAUGAACCCAUAGUGAAAAGCUGGCUCCGCUUCUGCAUAUCCCCUCCAAAAAAAAAAAAAGAAAAAAACAAAGGACAACAUAACUAAACGUCUAAACCAUAUAACUACUUCUCCUUAAAUAAUGUAAACAUGGUCUCAUCAAAAGUACUAAAUUUUGGUAAACAUACUAAGUGACUUUGAUAUAGUGUAUAGAAAAUCAUCUCUUCUUAGUCUUGUAAACAAAAUGAGUAGUUCAGGCUUUAUCAUAAUAAUUUUGCAUACAUGAGGUACACAACCUAAGAGACAAUAAAGCAAAUGGUUGUCCCCCCCUCUCCUAACGUUUUCAAAUAAAUCAAGAUCAAACAUUAUCAACACCAAUUGCCUACUUUCUUAGAGUGCUAACGAUAAAAUCAUCUUUUUGUUUGCUUUUGUUACAAAAAUACUUACAACAAAGAGUACUACGGACCCCUCAUGGACUCAAAAGAUUUGGUUCCACAUACUCCCACUUUUUUGGUCCCUUUAAAAUUUUGUUCUUAUAAUUUCUAUAGAAAAAUAACGUAGGUGGUUAGCUUGAAGAAUAAGUAAAUAAGCAAAAGGCUAGCUACAUAUAGAUAGUUCACUUGCUAACUUGGGUUAGGCCAAGAGAAUUAUUGUUUGCUUGCAACUAUCAUGAAUAUUAAGUUUGUAAAGCUCAAAUAGCAUAUUGAUAAAUAAGAAAAUCAAAUAUUGAUCUAACUCGACCCCAAAAGUUAGUUCAUGAAAUAAAAAAAUUUUAUUUGUUCAUCCCAAGUGAUUUUACUAUAUGCAGUGGCGGAUGUACAUGUAUUCCAGGGGGUUCAUUCGAACCCCCUUCGUCGGAAAAUUAUAUUAUUUUUAUAUGGUAAAAAAAAAUAUUAUGUAUAAAUAAUAGAGGCUGAACCCCUUCGACUAGUCCAUAUAUGUACUACUGAACUCCCUCACUAAAAAUCCCGGAUCCGCCCCUGACUAUAUGAAUGCUCAAAAUCUAGCUCAUGAGAUGCGAUUAUCAAUAAUGUAACAUUGCUAUAGAGGGCGUACUUUUAUUUAUUUAGUAAUAUCUUUUAACAUGCCUCUCACAUUCGGCUUGCUUCUUUUUAGUGGAUGAUAGUGAGACUCGCAUUCAGAAUCUCUGUAUGAUAUGUGAAUAUAUAAUCAACUCAUCUAAGAGUUUAAACUAUUCGAGUUGACCAUACUCUUAUUUCCUUAAUUAUUACUCUUCACUGUGUAUAUUAAAUAGCUUACCUUCCGUUAGUUAAGUUAGUCAUGCUAAACAUUAUAAUGAUACCAUUUGAUUAAGAAACGGAAAAAACUGUACUAUGUAUAAAUUGUAAAUUUGAAGAUUUGGUAUCGUAAAAAGUAAAUUUUAUUGGAUGCGAAGUGGUGAGGUGCAUUCUUAAAGUGGGCAUUUUGCACCAUCAUUAGUUAUUUUAUAACACCAAAACUUUCUCCAAAUUUGUUCUUAGAAAAUGACUUGAGCAUAAAUAUUCUCAUUUUCAAUUGUAUCUGGAAUAAUUAAUAGGCAAUAAGUUAAAAUAUUUUUAAAAUAAUUAAAUUAAUGAGCUUUUUCCAAAAGCAAAUGUGUUUCUCACAUUAUUAUUCUUUGCUUAAGGACAAAUCAACACGAGAAAAAAGAUAGGGGGAAGAGUGGAAACCCUUUUUCUAGAGAAAAUGAGGAGAGCACUAACUAAAGAAUUUUUUUUCCAAAAAGUCAAAGUCAUUAUGCCAUUGUCAAAGAUAAUUCUUCAAUCUUUUUGACUUCCAAAUUUGGAGAACAAAUAAAAAUUUGGAGUUCACAAGGUGUUACAAAGACUAAAGAAAUGAUUGAAAGAUUAUAAUUUUUGGUCCCCAUUAAAACUUAAAAAUAAUAAUUUAAUUAAAUAUAUACGAAGUACAUAUAUAAUGUUACAUCUCCUUUUCUUCAACCAUUAGUUAGGAAAGGGGAAAUCAAAUAAAGUAACGAUACAAAUAAAAAGAGGGAAUUAAUUAACAAGUGGAAGAAAGUUUCAAGAGUCCUAAUGGUGCAAAUGCUAUCAAUUUUACCUUGGAUAUACAACAAAAAUAAUUAGAUAUGAUAUGUAAUUACUCCUUCUCUUCCUUUUACUUGCCUUCUAAUUUCCAAACAAAAUGAGAAGAGAAAAGUUAUCGUGGGAAAAAUUAUCCUUCCACCAUUAUGGUCUAAACAAGAUGCAAAGAGAAGAUUGGUGGGGGUGGGUCGUGGGGGGGCUGGUUUAACAAUGUCCAAUUGUUUAAAUGAUUUUAAUUAUAUGCAUUGAUAGUAAAUGUCGUUUUACACAAUUAAUGUAAUACUUAUAACAUGUUUAUCGAGUAUAAUUUUUAUCAGGUUAUUAAUUAAUAUUUAAAUAUGAAUAUUUAUAUGAAAUUACCAUAUAAAAAUAACUUGAUUGAACAAUUUUUAUUUACAGUACUGUCAAAUCUUAAAAUUUAAACUCAAGAAUUUAUCUUAGCACAUAAUAGUAAAUCCAUGAUCACUCUCCCAAUAUUUAGACAACUUAGUAAUUAUAGAUUUCCGAACAAGGUUGCUAGUGUAUCAUAAAUCAUACUCACAAUUCAAGCAGGAGCAGUAUAUUAAACUCAGUCUAUCUCAUAUUAAUUGUCCAUAUUAUUAAAAAUAUGUUUCAAAUUACUUGAUAAUUUAUAGAAUCAAGAUAGAAUUAAUUUAAUUUUUCUCAUUCUUCCCUAAAUUAACCGUUGUAUAAAUAUUAUGAAGUUUUUAAAAAGUUUUUUCCAUCAUUACUUUUGGCAUUGAUUGAUAAGACACACAAAUAUAAAGUAUAAUAAAAAGAUAUAAAAGAAAAAUUACUAAACGUAUUCUUAUUGUUUAUAAUUUUUAAAGAAUUUAUAAAAAAUUAGGAAAUAGCAACUAAUAUAUAACGGAGGGAGUAGUAACAACAACUCGAUGUUAGGUAGCUGCGGACAGAUAAAUAUCAUAGAAGACUUGGAAUACUAAAAUAUAUAUGCCAUCAUGAAAAUGUGCAUAGGAUACUAAAAACAAAAUUAACUUCUUUCUGCUUUGAAUUUUUUUACAAAUUUUGCUGUUGCAAUUUGAAAAUGUUACACUUCUCGAUUUGUUCCCUAUUUGCUGAUCGAAUUGAUGCUUCUUAUCUUUUGUUCAGUGGUCAAUAAAUUGUACUAUCCAAUGGAUAUUCUUGCACAACAGAUUUUUAUUUUUAUUUUAUUUUAUUGGCUCAAAUUUUUUCUAAUGCCUUUCUGCAAACUUCAUCUACUCUUGUUCAUUCUGUGAAUCUUGGUUCUUCAAAACAAAAACAAAAAAGGAAAGAUAGCUUGAGGUGCUUCUUUUCCCGUCAUUUAUAACCUGAUAAUAAAGAAAUAUAUUUUAAAUUAUAAUAAUUCAAUUUGUAAUUUUGAUCAACAUAAUAAUGAAAGAAAAAAAUCAAAAGAAUUAGAUUUUCCUAAUAUUAUUCAAAAUUGUUGAAUUUUUCCUCUUAUAGUCUUUCGAUUUAUUCAUUCUUAAUUACGCAUGAACACAUACGUGCACCGCCUCUUUUAUUGUUUUAGUUUUUGUUUGGGAGGAGGGUGAAAUAAUACUCUUCUGUCAAUGAUUACUUAUUCUUAUUUGACUACAUUUUAAUUUUUAAUAUAAUGAAUAAAUAAAGGUGGACGGAGGAAUAACCUACUCAAAAGCGUGAAACAUAAAUUAAAGGAGCAUGACAUGUUUCGAUACUUAAAGGAGUAAUUAGACAUUUGCAUUGGAUCUAUAACCAAAGACUCCAAAUAAUUGUCAAAAGUCGUCCAUUUACGUUCAGAAAGACAAAGAAGAUGCCAUUACUGUUUCCCAAAAUUCAAAUGGAGGACACAUGUCAACUAUUGUAAUAGCAAGAAGCAUGCAAAAGAGGAUCAGUCAACUAAAUUAUACUAUAUAGUACGUCUCGACAUUAUUCUAAUCUUUGGCAGUAUUAAUCGGACUUUAAUUUGUAAGCCUCUUCUAAAAUAUGCAUGAUACUUAGAGUUAUUUUUCUUCCUAGGAAGCAUCAUUUUCAUGUUUUAACUCACACCUUGUCGGACAAGAAAGGAAAGUAAAUUAGCCAAAGGAAAUAGGAUGGGAAAACAAAAUUUGGUGAUGAAGAUAAUUUUUCAUCAAAAAAGUUUAUAUACUCCAUAAAAUAUAAGAGUUAAUCCUAAAUGUGAUUCUUUUUUUUUUUCCUUUUCAUAAAGGAGUUAACUAAAAUCCUGAUUAGAGGCAUGGUGGGAGCCAGGGGUAGAUCCAUGUGUAAUUUUGGGGUGCUUCGAUACCCAUAAAACUCGACGUAGAUUAGAUAUAAUUAUACAAAAAAACACAGAAUAAAUGGUAUAAUUUAUUAAAAAUCACCUAGAGAACAAAUAUAUGGUUGGGUGCAGUGGCUUGAGGAUGUGACUCAUAUGUCCAGUUUUCUAGGUUCGAAUCGCUACAGCUACAUACUAUUUUUUAUAAAUUUUUUUAAGCACCCACAACCUUAAAUUCCUGGGUUCGCCACUGGUGGGAGCUGGGUAAUAUUCUUGUACCUUUAAUAAGGGCUUUCAAGUUCAAGAUCCGUGGAUAAAGAAAAAAAAAUAAUAGAUAAUGUUUCUUUCUAAAUCUUAAGCGCGUGAAUUUGAAUUAGAUAGAGUUAAUGAAUAUAUAUUAUUAUUAUUACUAGUUCAGCCGUACGUAUCUCGCACGUAUAACUUUUGAUUAUUUAAAAUUAGACGAUUUUAUCUAUUACAAAGGUUUUUAAUAACGUACAAAAAGUUCCAAACAUAUAUUUUACUAUAAGCACAUAUAUAUUUUACUACCGGAAGUUUCAAGUGCUUAAUGGAUACUUUUGCGUUUGUUAUGCAAUACCUCUUUUCAUUGCUGGUAGAGGCUAAGAGAAACGCAUCAGUUCGAAUCAUAUUUGUAGUACAAUUGUUUUUCCUCUACUUAAAAUCUUUACUUAUUUUUUAAGUUAAAUCAUUAGAAAAUUUUUUAUUACUUAAAACUUUUAUAAAUUUAAUAUUUCUUAUAUUUUUUUUAUUCUCACUAGUGCUUUCAUAUUUGUUUCUAGAUUUUUUAAAUCUCUUUAAAAUUAACUUUAGUUGAUUUAGAAUUCUUAAACUAAUGAAAAAGAUAUUAGUUGUCACUAAUUCUGACGACUUCUAAUAACGAAAAGUUAAAUAAUAUUUCUACGAUCCUUCACACUUUUAAUAUAUUUUAGAUUAUAAAUUAUAGAUUAAAUAUAAACAUAAAUAUAAAUAUAAAUAUAAAUAUAAAUAUAAAUCAAACAACCAUGGUGGGUUGAUGGCAACUUAUAUGCUACUGUCAUUCUCUUAUAAUAAAAGUUAAUUACCAAAAAGAAAAAUAUAUGCUAGUGUCAUUUCAUUAUGUAAUUUUCAAGUAAAUUUGAUAAAACAAUUAAACUGAAGUAUAAAACAUUACAAAAAAAAAUGCACACAUAUGUAACGUACACAUAGAGUCCGUUAAACAAUAAAAUUAGGAGUUAUUUUUUCACGUAAAAUCUACCUACACUAUUGAUAGUAUUUUCUUCUUAUUAUAUAUUUUAGGACUUUAAAAUUGUAAAUAGUUAAAUAAGAAGAAAACUAAAAAUAGAAUAAGCCAAUAUUUAUAUUUCUUGUAAAAUUUGAUUGAAACUAUUACUUAAAUAGAACUGUAAAAGUUCUUUUUAUAUAAGGGAAAAUUUUAAUUUAUUUAGAAGUAUUAAAUAUUAUAAUUUCUUGUCUAGAUGAAAUAAGGACUUUAAUUAAUUUUAAAAAUCUAAAUAAUGUAUAAUUAGUUUAUUUUUAUUUUUUUAGAAAAAAUCUCAACCUAAAUAAUGUAUAAUAUUGACUUAUUUAAAAACAAAAAUCCCAAACCAACUUUGGUUUUUAAAAAAAAGGACAUAAAAAACCAUUUUGUAAAAUAAAUAAAUCAAGUUAUAAUUCUAUAUAAAGCAAAAAUAAUAUACAUUAAGAAUAGUAAUAACAUGUUCUAUACUAACAUUUGGGCAAGUUUGCAAAAAUUCAAAUUUUAGCUGAUUUUAAACUAUUACGUUUUUAAGGGUGUUCACACUUUUAAUAUAUUGUAGAUUAUAGAUGUAGAUAUAGAUGUAGAUGUAGAAGUAGAUGUAUAUAAGAUGUAGAUUUAUAGAUUUUUAAUAUCUUCUUAAAAUCAAAUUUAGUUGAUUUAGAAUUCUUAAACUAAUAGAAAAAGUAUUAGUUGUCAUUAAUUAUGAUGACUUCUAAUAAGGAAAAAGUUUUAUUAUAAAUAUAUUUAAUUAAUUUUGAACUCUUAAAUAUUAGAAAAACAAAUAGUGAAAAGAUAAUUUUGCCUAAAGCAAAGACUUUUAAUGAAAGACAAAAAGUUAAACGAUAUUUCUAAAGUCCUUUACACUUUUAGUGUAUUAUAAAUUAUAGAUAUAGAUAUAAUUAUAGAUUAUUAUUGUGAUAAAAGUAAUAAUUUUUUUUUAAAAAUGAAGUGAGGCGCUAAAGGAAGUUAUUUUUCUUUUCAUUAAACUAAAGUAUAUAGUAGACCUAUUUACUUUCUUCUAUAUUAGUUACUUUACUUAUUCUCUUUGCAAACCAAAUAAGAAAAGGAAUCCCUUUUUCUUUCCUUUAUGUCUAGUUCUCAAACAAAGGACAAGCCCCUCCUCUCUCUCUCACUUUUUUUUUUUUUUUUUUUCUUUUUAAAAUAGUAGAAAGGAGGGGCUGAUGUCGAAGUUUAUAAUUGGGAGGAGAAAAUGUGAAAAAAGAUAAAAAGAAAGAUGGCGCCAAAAGAAGUCUUAUGAGGAGAAAUUGCUUUUAAAUUGUUAGACCAAUAUACCUGCAGACUUCCAACUUUGGGACCCUCUUGCCCACUUCAAAAAUUAUGCUUAUUGUAAAAUAACUUAAAUAUAUACCGACAGCAUAAAUAAUAGUAGUAUUUCAUACCAAUAUAGAUCACAACAAAAUUAAUUAAUAAGUUGAUCUUAAUGAGGGAAACACUAAACAUAAAUUAAAUGAAAUGGUUUUAUCUUUAGUGAACAACACCAGAAUUUUCAACAAGGAGUCAAAAUAUUAAAAAAGUAAGUACUCAAAUAAGUUAAGAAAAUUUUACAUAUAAUAUAUGUACAUUAUUUGUUUUACUUAAUUUACACUAUAUAAUUAUUUAGUAAAGGAGUGCAUUGACACUUUUCAACAAGGACUAUCAGUAUGUGUAAGUUAAUUAGAAGGUACUCCCUCUAUCACAGUUUUAAGUGUCUUAGUUUGAUAGAACAUAGAGAUUAAAAAAUAAAAGUGAGAUUUUUUAAUUUUAUGACGUUAAAUUAAAGAAGUGUAUAGUGUUUUUUAUAAUCUUACACUUAUCAUGAAGGAGGUUAUUGGAAUUGUAAAAAUUACUGAAUAUAGAAAGAGAUAUUUUUUUAGAAAUAAACGAAAAAGAAAGUAAGACACUUAAAUUAAGACGGAGGAAAUUCUAUGAUAUAAUAAAAUAAACUCCAAACCCUUGCAUUAGCAUAGUUCUCUUAACAUGUAUGUAUUGGCUUGGUCUAUAUACCGGGUGCGUGUAAGUGUUUUCCCACCUUGUACUAUCCUCAAACCUGCCUCCCCUUUUCCAUUCCUAUACUCUUUUUUCUCUCUUGUUAAAUACUCUUUUAUUCUUUCUCUACUAUAUAUACAUACCAACACUUGACUUUAAUCUUUAAUUUACCUUUGUGCAUACCUCUCUCCUCCAACAAGCUAAGUGUUCAAGUGUAAUAUACCACAAUUAGGAGUCCAAGAUCAUAAUAAUGAAGGAGUGUGGGAAGAAUAGCAGCUCACCAUGUGCAGCUUGCAAGUUAUUGAGAAGAAGAUGUGGUCAUGACUGUGUCUUUGCACCUUAUUUCCCUGCUGAUGAACCCCACAAGUUUGCCAAUGUUCAUAAGGUCUUUGGUGCUAGUAAUGUCAGCAAGAUGUUACAGGUUCCACUUUCUAUAUAUCUCUUUCAAUUAUUUUCCAACUUAACUUUCUUUAAUAUAUAUGCAACUUUUUUCAAAAAAAAAAAAGGGCAAAUCUUCAUCUCUACUUCUAAUUGGGUAUCAACACCUUAGUUUUUGUUUAUGGGGUUUUCUCUAUGUGAAUUAUAGUUAGAGUCGUGGAAUCAGUCACUAAUACUUGCAUCAGGACUCGGGAUAGACCGAUUACAUCACAUCCCUCCUCUCUUGAAUGUUUCCCUUUUUUGGACCCUACAUGAGAGUAUACCAUACUUUUUUUCUGAUGUGGGUGGGUGAGGUGGGAUAGGAGGGGGGUUGUCAAUUAAGGGUAUAGAGUGUGAACACGAUUUAGCAUAUAAUAUAAUGACUUAAGAUAGAUCUAAAGAUAAGGUUGUUUAGCAAAAAUAUUGGACACAGAAGUUACACAUGCACUUGGUCUAUGAACAUGCUAUAAUAGAGAAGAGAUAAUGUAUUUAACAGGUCACAUGCAAUAAAAUCCAAAAGGUAAGCAUAACAGACAAGUAUAGAUGAUAAAUAAUGUAUCAAACUUCUUUCCUAUUCUCAAUACUGCUACUUCAUUUUCUCCAAGUAUAUAAAUAUAGUCCAUGUUUGUCUACCCUAAUUAGCUAAAUUAAGUCCUCUAAUUCAAAUUAUAUAUUUUGGAGUUUUUUUUUUGUUUUUUAAAAGGCACUAAAUAAUGUUCAUGAUUGAGCCUACAGUAUAAAAAGUUGCCGUUUUAACCCUAUUUAAUUUAAUGUGUCCCUCUUGCUACUGGUCAAAUGUGCCAAACACUCGCAUAAGAAAACCAAUGUACAACGUACUAAUUGUUUCUUGCUUUUCAAGUUAAAAUUAGCCCCUUAUAAGGUAAUUAGGUCAUAUUUUCUUUGAUUAUAGUUUCUUUUUUCCUUAUUAAAGUUUAAAUUAUGAUCUUUUGUUACUCAAGCUUCUGCUUUUCUAAGCUCUAUUUUGGCGGUAAAAAGAUAACAAGCAAGUAAUUAUACUUUAUAUAAAGAAUAAAUGUUUGCUGAACACCUUUUUCAGGCUCCUGUGGUCAUAUUUUCAGGUUCUUUUACAACUAGAAAAAAAAACAUUGCAUUAAGUGAUUAAAGUUUCACACUGAUCUUAGAUUCAGUAGUGAAGCCACAGUACUAACUGCGGGUUCAACAUAAAUCAGUAAUUUUGACUCAAAGUUUUAUAUUUUUAUUAAAUUUUUUCAAUAUGUACGUACAAAUAAUUUAAUUUAUUCAGAAUCUAGGUAAAAAGAGUUAUGAUUAAUUUAGCAAUUUGUGGGGUCGUUAGAGGGGAACAAAGAGAUGUUUGUUAGUUGUUGAAAAACCGUUUCACUAGUCAAAUGUGGAAAAAGAUUGAACUAGUCUAUGUUUAUGGUCCCACAAACAAUCAUGCUCCUCCGCUUCAUUUUAAUUGAUCUCUUAUUAAAAACAUUUAAUUAUUCUAUUUAUGAAAUAAAAAAGAUUUUAUUAUAUUCUUUCAAUACUAUUUGUGUUAUUAAAUAACUAUACAAAGUGUAUAUAUUUAAAUUAAAAUUUUAAAAAUAUAAUUAAUAAGACUAAUUUGAUAAAAUGCACUCUUAAUAAACAUAGGAUCAAGACAGGAAUUAGUAGAAAAUUUUUGACUAUUGAAUAUGAUGAAUGAGGUUCAAUGUAGAACUAAUUUGGAGCCAUAAACUCCAUAUCCAACUGUUUUUCUUUCUUUGUAAAUUAUUUAUUUACUUAAUAUUUGAAAGUCAACUAAUUUAUUCAAUAUGAAUUUGGUCACUAUCACAAUAUAUAGUAGUACUUUUUACAACUGAAUUUUCAAGUGGACACGUGAUAUUUUUCCAAUCGUCAUUUCUCAUAAAAUUUCGGGGGUGGUUAAAUGGUCUCCUAUUUUAACAAUUAAAGGCCAAAAGAAUCAACUUACUCCAAGAAAACAAACACACACAUUUGUUCUUUUGACCACAAAUAUAGUGUUGUUGAUAGGUACAUAUCACCUCUUAGCCAUAAUUAAAGACUUCUCUGGUUUGACCUCAUUUUAAAAAGGUGAUUUCUCUUUCUCUUUUUCCUUUUUUUCCUUUCAUCUUUUUCAACACACACUCCAUUAGCUAUUUUCAGAAAAUUUUAUGACACAAAAAUGAUGUCAAUAUGACAUGCCUUUGGAACUCAAUACUCUCUUAGGUCCUCAAAGUACAACCCAAGCCCAUUAAUUAGCAUGCCAAUCAUAUUAGUAAGCCCAUAAGGAUUCUGUCACCAACUUACAACAAAGACUGUAUCACAAACUACACUACAUUCGUUUCAUUUGGUCUACAAUAAAAUACAUUAUACAGAAUUUUGCCCAUAGUGUAGUUAUUAUGAUCUGCAUUUGUAGCCAAAUUUUGGAGUGAGUUAAUUAAAGUUCAAAUCAAAUGGUGUAAAAUUGCAGGAAUUGCCGGAGCAUAAGAGAGGAGAUGCAGUGAGUAGCAUGGUGUAUGAAGCAAACGCUAGAGUUAGAGAUCCAGUGUAUGGAUGCGUAGGAGCCAUUUCAUCUCUCCAACAGCAAAUCGAUAUGCUCCGGACUCAACUGGCCAUGGCCCAAGCUGAAGUGGUCCAAUUGAGGCUAAGACAAUCCACAGGCAUUAUUAAUAAUAGCCCACCAAAUAAUGACUCUCCCAUUACGAGCUCCCAGCCCAAAGGAUAUUCCCAUUUCCAUAUGGAUUUAGAUGUAGACCAGUCCAACUGCUUCAAUGAGCCCAUGUGGCCAUAUUAGUAAAUGAGUUUCGUCUAUUUUAAGUUCAAAAAUUCCCAUGUGUCCUUUUGCCUCUAUAUCUUUUUCUUAUAAAGGGCAAAGGUGAUGAUUAGGUUGCUGUUUGUGAGUGUGUUAGAAUGAAAUCAAACCCUUUAUGGGGUGUAUUAGCAUGAGUUCAUACAAAACCCUUCAAGUGGUGUUGGCCUUUUGGCCAAAUUGAUUAUACUAUUAUCUUUGUUCUUGUGUAUAUAUGUAACUACUAUAGUAUGUGAUAGGACAAUUUUCAUAAGGGGACAGUGUGUUUAUUUUCCAAACUUGUUGGAAGAAAGUCCCUUUUUACAAUUGACGAAUCAUAAAACUCAAAACUCUUAUUUAACAAUUUGAUAUCUGAAUUUCAUUCGAGAGUCUAUUCGAAACAACCUCUCCACAUUUGAAGUAGGGUAAGGUUCAAGGAUCGAUUCAGGAUUUAAAGGUUGUGAGUGCUCACUUUCUUUAAGGAAAAAAAAAGUGUGUUGCUACCAGAAAUUAAACCCACGCCACUUCAGGCAUCAAGGUGCUUUAGUUUCACACCGAAGCCAAAGCACCCAACAACCACUUUUGUUUAUGAGUGCUUAACGUUACAUCAUAACCGAUUUUACUGUAUUUUCUAUACAAAUAACAAAAAAUUUACCAGAGUCAGUGGGUGCUCAAGCACCUGGAAAAGAUGCAUGCAUCCGCCCCUGGUAAGGUUUGCGUACACUCUGUUCUCCCGAGACUAUAAUCCAUUUUAAGGUGGGGAAGAACUCCCUUGCAAAAUUUCUUUUCUCUAGAGUUUGAAUCGAGGUCUCUACUUAGGAUAAAGUGAUCUUAUAUGUCCCUCCACAUCAGUUGGUGAUGAGACGACAAUAUGUAUUGAUACUUACAAGACAAAACAACUUUCCCAAUGAAUCACCAAAACGCUACAUAUAGAGCUAAUUAAUAAGAAUCCACCACAAGAUCUACACAUAGUAUUUAGGAAAUUCUCAUUGUUUCAUAAUAUAAACAAGUGAAAGAGCAAUUAGACAUUAGAGUCAAUGAGUUCUCCAUUCACUAACUCUCUGUAAGCAGCAACAGGCCAGAUGAAGCCUCUCCAGACAAGCCUGUUAGCCAAUGGAACAUCAAUGAUGAUCUCCUUCAUUGUUGGCUUCUUCUCAUCUCUUAUUGCAAUCAAGUAGCUCCUUCCUACCCACCCAAUCCAUCCAGCAAUGUACAAGAAGAGGAUCCCAGGAGUGAUGAACUCACCCCAAUGCCUCUGGUCUCCACUCACUAUCAGGUGUGGCAGUCCAUCCGAUCCACACAAUAGUCCCUGUUUCGCGUAGUUGUCAAAUCUGCAAUGACAAUAGUUGAGUGAAUUUGUGUAAGUGAAAUAAAACUAGUUAUGUGACUUCUCCGUUACAAAAUAAAGUUGAGUGACUUUAUCAAGAUAAUUUCCGUUAGUUGAGUAAUUUCAAAGGAGUUUUGUCCUUCACUGGUGAGGGACAGCGAGACAGUUGUGCUUAUAUACAGAAGCACUUCUUCUAGCUCUUAAAGAAUUGAGAAGAGAGUCUUCCCGGCGCCAUCGUUGUCCCUCAGCUGGCUUGGGCUUGAAUUUGAAUUUAUGAUGUGAUUGACUGAUAUAUUUUUGGAUCAAAUUUAUUUAGUUAAUAUUUAUAUUUCAGUAACAUUUUUGUAAUUAAUUCCCAUGUUAUUGUUUUGUCGUAGCCAUAUUUUUCGUAAACAACCAUUUUCGCAAAGAACCACCAGGAAGAGUUGCAUCUCUUCGUUUGAGACUAGACUUCUGCUUAUAUAUAUCUGUCCUUUAAUUCAGAUUUUUACUUACGAUUUUUUUUUUAAAUAUUUCUCGCAUAUUACUUUCUGCUCUGCGAAGUAAAUUUGAAGUGUGAUUCAACUGUUCUUAAUGUUCGUUGAACACCGGUGUUUGAAGUAUCUUUGCACAAGUGACAGUAAUCUGCCCUAUCUUGGGAGGAAAUAAUCUUAUACCUCAGGUAUUAGGAACACUAUGAAUUUCAGGAGGCUCGAAUUAGUUUCAGCUUUCAUCUCAUGUAUAUUUUGUCAAGUCUUAGUUUCCAGGAUUUAUUUGGUUACUAACAGUAUUUGUGUUACUAAACAAAAUUCGAAUGAUCAUAUGCGAAAUUAACUCUAUGAUAAGGAAUUACAUAGAUGGAUUAAAUAAAAAAUGAUUACUAGGGGAAAAUGGAAGGUGAGACAAACCUGCGCUUAGUUUUCUCAAUAGUAGCAUUAAUAGCAAGUGCAGGAGCACUAUCAGGUGCAUAUAGCUUCAAAGAAUUCUCAAGCUUCUUGAUCUGUUGCUUCUCCCUCUUAGCAAACUGCUUUGACUCCUUGCAAGGUGUGAGUCCAGAGAUGUCAGCAGAAGCUGGAAGCACUGGUGCUGACAACAGAAUUGAAGACAAAGCAAGUGCUGCUGAGAAUACCUUUAAUGAGGAAGAUGUUUCAUCUGUUUUAGUAGAAGCAGGAGUUUGGUUUGAAGAGCAGACUAUUGUUGAAGUUCUUGGUUUUGUGGUAAACUGAGAACUAAACUUAGAUGAUGUUGAAAUGGGUUUUGAAAGGUUUGCAGGAAUUGUGAGAGACAUGGUGUUUUCUCCUCUCUCUUUUUAUGGUAUUAUUUUCAAGAAAAAAAGAGAGGAAGGAGGAGUGGAUUGGAGUGUGGAGAGUGAAAGGAUGUUUUUUUAGGAUAUUUGGAAGAAAGGAUUGGUAUUGAAGAGAGAGGAUAAAGGAGUUGAAGGGGAGCUUAGGUGGAGGGAUUUGAUUGGCUAAUUGAGUUGGAUUUUGUGAGAUUGGUGGAUUUUGCUGAAACUUUAUCUAUCUGUGAAAGAGCAAGAACCAGGGAUGUAACAGAUACAGAUACGCCUCCUUCGGAGCCAUAUUAUCCCUUGGAAUAGCUAGUAAGUUGCUGCCCACGUAAUCAGGAGGUCAUAAGUUCAAGUUUUGAAAACAGUUUCUAAUAAAAAUACAAGGUACGACUGCAUACGAUACACCCUUGUGGUGGGGCCCUUCCCUGGAUACCGCGCAUAGUGGUAAUUUUAGUACACUGGACUGUCCUUUAUUGGCAAAAUGGCUAAAUGGAUCCUUGUACUAUGUUCGUUUUGUAAUGUGAACACUUCUACUUACAUGUUUGUCAUCUGAAUCGUUGAAUUAAUUAAAAAGUAAUAUUUUAAGCCCUUUAUCGGUCUACUCCUUUGAACGUGUUGCACAAUCACGAACAUGUCAUCAAAUAUUUGAAAAUAAUUUUCACAUAUGAAAUAACGUGUCCAAGGUAUAAAUAGAAAAGUAAGUCCGAAAAAUUAAGUCAUUUUAGACCCUUCUUCUUCGUCUCUUUCAUCCAAAGUUUAAAAUUUCCCCUAUUUUAACUUAAUUUAGGUAGAUUGUUGUUGGUGGUUGUUGCAAUCCGUGUAAGUAUUUAAUAUUUUGUGGUAACUGUAGUAUUUCGUAGUUUAUUUCAGGCUCUUUUGUCGAUGUAAUGAAGUCCGUUUUAGUAAUUUUAGGAUUUUCGCCAUUAUGAACUUUUUUUUCAAUUUUUUGGGUGGUUUUGCUCUAUUUUAUAUCUAGUGUUGUUGUAGGUAGUAUGUGUAGUGGUGAUAUGCCUUCAAUGACAUAUUUUGAAAUUUUGAUCAAAAUUUAGAGUUUUUUCGUAAAAUGGUAAUUGGGUUCGAAAAUUUUUGAGCUUUUAAUUUUUUUUUUGUUGUCUAAUGCUCCUAUUAUACCUAUAUAUUACAGUUUUGUGCCUUCAAUGGUGUAUUUUAUUAUUUCGAUUACAUUUUAAAUUUUUUUUGGUAAAUUUAAAAUUAGGUUCGAAAAUUUUGGGGCUUGUGAAUUUUUUGUUGUUUAAUGCUCCAAUUAGAUGUGUGUAUAACAGUUUUGUACCUUCAAUAGCAUGUUUUGUUAUUUCGAUUACAUUUUAAAGUUUUUUUUUUUUGAUAAAAUCAGAAUUGGGUUUCUUAUUCCUUUAUUUUUUCUUUAAAAAUUAGGUCUUUAUGGAUAAUUAACUAAUUAUAUAUAUUAUCUUGUCAUUGUACAGAUUUUCUAAGUAAAUGGACACAAUUGUAACAAUUCAAUUCACCUAUAGGGGGGUCUUUUUGUCAGACCCUGAUCUAAGGUAUGCAAAUGAAGUUUGUAUUCUUGAAAAAAUUAGAGUAGAUGUAGAUGAGCUUCAUAUUAUGUUAUUUCAUAACUUAGCAAUAGAUUUAGAUAUGGAAAAAAAUAAAACUUUUUGAUGUAGAGUAAAUAAAAAGGGUUAUUAUUAUAUGUUAGAUAGUGAUGCUGAUGUUUUAAGAUUUAUCAAUAGUUUAAAAGUUGGAGAUUUUGUUAAUAUAUAUGUUGUUCACCAUAUUAGUGAACUUAUAGUUGUUAAUGAAGAUGUGACAGCUACUCCAUCAUUAUUACUACUUAGCAAUAGUAAUGUGGCAGCCCCUUUUAAAACUGAUAAGGUUGUGUGUCUUCAUCUCAUCCGUUGAAUAUAAAUGAAGAUGAGUAUAUAAAUGAAAAUCAGCCUCCUAAGGCAGACAAAGGAAAAGCUAAGGUUUCUUUAGAAGACUUAGGGGAAAGUCAAGUUAAUGAUUUCUCCACAUACCACCUUCAAACAUCUGAUUCUGAAUUAAAUUUUCAGACCACUGAUUCUGAUGUUGAUUCACUUUAUGAUAUUAAUGAAAAUAUUGAAGAGGAGUGAUUUUGACAAAGAGUUGCUUUAAGUUAGGAAGUCUAACAUUGAAAAACAAGCAAAAGAAAAGGCUGAUAGGGUAAAUCUAGAUGAGAUACCAUCUGAACUAGUAGGUAUAAAUGCUGGUUUUGAGGAAAUUUGUAAGAACAAGGGGGUUAGAUAUGAAAGUAAACUGGGUAGGGAUGACCCUUAUUUUGGUAGUUUAAAUUCGAAUAGUAACAUUAGUGAAGAGGAAGGAGAUCAUGUUGAUGAUGAUGAACUGGUAGAUCCACUACCUAGAACUUCAUCUAGCAAGAUCUACUUUGAUGAAACUGCAAAGAAGAUAUAUUUUUAGUUGUACAUGAUUUUUUGAAUGCUGUUGAAUUUAGAGAGGUACUGCAGACUUUAUUCAAAAAAAUGUGAACCUUAAAUUAAAACCUAAUAAAAAGAAAAGAGUAAAGGCAAAGUGUAAGCAUAAGGAUUGUUCUUGGGUUAUUCUUGAAAGUGUUGAUAACACAAAAAAUUUUAGUGUGAAAACAUACUUUCUUAUCCACAAAUGUUCUAAAAAGACAAAAAAUGAGAUGUGAGUGAUUCAUCAAUAAAAUUGCAUCAGAUUCAAACACUUUUAAGAAAGGACUAUGGAUUGUAUGUUAGUAAAACAACCCGUAGAAAAUCAAAAAUUAAAAUUAUGAAUGAAUAUUUUGAUGAUUUUGUUGAAGAGUUUGCUAGGUUGUAUGACUAUGCUGAAUAGUUAGGAUCACCAAUCCUGAUACCACUGUAUCUACUAGAACAUCCAAGAAUUCAAUUCCAAGGUGGUUAUAGGCAUUUAUAUUUGUCUUGGGGCCUUAAAAAGUGGAUGAAAAGAGGGUUCUAGAAGAAUAAUUGAUUUAGAUGGUGCCUUUCUCGAGGGUGUAUAUAAAGGUAUCUUGUUGUCUUGUAUUUUCAAAGAUAAAAAUAAUCACAUGCAUCCUGUAGCAUGGGCAGUGGUUGAUAAAGAAACCAAGGACAUAUGGUCUUGAUUUCUUAGGUACAUCAACCAUAAUUUGAAACUUCGAGAAAAUGGGGGUAAAGGCUUGACAUUAAUAUCUGAUAUGCAGAAGGUAUGAAGUGUCAUAUUUUUUUUAGUUAUUUUUUCAAUUUGCUUAGUGAUGUCAUGAAUGUUUAACUACUGUUUUACAUGUUUUGAUAGGGUCUUCAUUUGGCACUUACUAAGCUACUGUCAAAUGCUGAGCAUAGAUGUGCUAGACAUAUAUGGGCAGACUGAAAGCAGGUUUGGAGAGGUGAAAAAAGAAGGAAAAAAUUCUAGCAGGUUGCAAGGGCUCGAUUUAAAGUGUAUUUACAACAAAAAACUUAAUAAAAUGAGUGAGUUAGAUGUUGAAAUUGUGAAAUACUUGCUCAAAUACAACAAAGAGGCAUGGUGUAGGAUUUUUUUUUAAAGAAUAUAGCAGGUGUGAUGUGGUUGAGAACAACAUGUAUGAAACUUUCAAUAGUUAAAUUUUAGCUGCUAGGUUCAAAACAAUUAUCACUAUGUUGGAGAAAAUAAAAUGCAAAGUCAUGGAAAGAAUGAAUCAAAUGAGAAAUUUUUAGAAAAAUGAAUCAGUGAUGUAUCACCAAUGGAUAUGAAAGUUCUUGUAGAGAAUAAUAUGCAAUCAAGUGUGAGGUAAGGUUUAAUGGUGAUAUAGGCUUUGAGAUUGGUGAUCCACCAUAAACACAUGUUGUUAAUGUGAAGAGGAAGGAAUGUAGUUGUAGGUCAUGGCAACUAAAGAAAAUUCCUUGUGCACAUGCAAUUGUUUCAAUGCAUUACAAGGGAUAGAAUGUGGAGUCAUUUGAUAAGCACUGGUAUCAAUGAAAAACAUACUUGAAGGCAUAUGAUAAGUAUAUUCAACCAAUGACAAAUAUAAAGAUGUAGCUAAGAAGCACAAGACCACUAAUUGAGUCACCUGAGAUUACUGCCAUGCCACGAAGGUCAAGUAAAAAUAGAAAGAAAGCUAAGGAUGAGUCUAUUAAGAAAAAGUUUAGGAAGGCUACAAAAAAAGAAAGAAAAAUGACAUGUUUUGUGUGCAAGUCUAUUGGAGACAACAAGAAAGGAUGUCCAAUUUUGGUAACCUAAAACUUUUCUUAUUGAUGAAUUUUACUCUUUUUGAAUGUGUUUUUGAUCUUUAAAUAUUUUUUUGUAGAAAAAAGAUUUCAGUAGUAGCUGUGGCAGUCAACCAAGUGUGCAAGCUGGUGCUAGUACUGUUGCUGCUGAGAGACCUGCAAAUGCUUCAGCAGCUGAAGACAUGCCUGCAAAUGCUAAACCAAGAAACAGAAGGCCUGCAGGAAGGCCAACAAAUGCUCACCGUGUACCAAGAGCUGCAGAAAGGCCUGCAAAUGUUGCAUCAGUUGGUGGUGUGAGGCCUGCAAGUGCCUUAACAACUGAUAUAAGGCCUGCAACUGUUGUGAUUCCUGCAACCACUUCACCAGUAGAUGAUAAUACUACACAAUCUACAACUCAGUAGUCUACUAGUGGUGUUGGUGUCCAAAAGAGGAGGACUAGUACAACUUUGAGAGGUGGUGCAAAUCUUGCAUAUAAAAGAUCAAGGCAAAACAAAAUUAAUUUUGUUGUGCUGUUUGGACUAAGUGGCAACGUAGUGGAGAGGGUAAAUUUUCUAUCAUGUAAUUUUCAUUUAACUGGUAUUAAUUAGUGUAUCUAUAACUGAUUUUUUUUAUUUUUACAGUUUGAAAAUACUGAUAGAGUGUUACAUAAUCCAACACUUAUUAGUUCAGUUCCAAUCAAUAUUGACUUGGGUUUCAAACCAAAUAGACUGAGGCGGAAAGGUGGAGCUGCAGUAACUCAAAGACAACUACAAGAACAGAGUUACAACAGAUAAAACACAAAAUCAUCUACAACCACUCAAGCCACAUCAAGCACUCAAGCCAGCAAGAAUCAGGCCACAACAAGCACUCAAGGAACACAUUAGUGUAAUUCUCUUUUUGUAUUGAUCCCAAGUGUUGUUAAGAUAAUUUUUUAAGACUUCUGAUGCAUUUCUCAUUAAAGAUGUUGUUAAGACAAGUUUUUUCAUUUCAACUCUUGCUAACACAUUAUAUAUUGAAGAUUUCUAAGUUGGCAAAAUGGUGUUUGUCAUUAAAUUUGAAUUUCAUUUUCAUUGUACAUUGCAACUACAAAAAUUAAGUCAUCUUAAAUAUAAUAGAUAGAAAUCAGAUGACAACAAUAAUAAUAGUGAUAUCAAUGCUAGUGCUUGAUCUUUCAUGUCUUUCAUACCUUUCAUAUCUUUCCAGUCCUUCUUGUCUUCGUUGCCUUCUAUGUCUGCCUUUAUAUUAUUUAUUUUCAUCAGCACAUCAAAAGAAUCCACAAUCAUUAGCAACUUCAUAUUUUUGACAGCUCCAAAAUAUUUUUUCGGGGUUGAUUGGUAUUCUUGAAUCUUAAUUUCAGCGUAAAGCCCACAAUAACAUACCCGAACUGUCAUGGUGUUGUGAAAAAUUACAUAAGAUAUUAACAUUCCAAUAUUACAAACAGAACAGGAAAAAAAAUUAAGAAACAAGAACUUAGAGAGAGAAAAAUGGAGAAGAAGGGAGAAAAAAAAGCUCAAAUUGCUUCAAUAAUGAUGUUGGAAGCAUAUGAGGAAGAAGUAGCAUUUAUAAGGACUUUAUGACUGUUGGGGGACUUUUUUCGAUGGCUUACGUGCGCUUGAAGGCUAAACUAUUUGCUCCUAUGUGAUUCCAGCCACAUUGGAUGCCACAUCAAAAAAAAGUAUUUAAAAUGUUCAUUUUUAGUGGGUUCAAGGAUUCAGAUGAUAAACAUGUAAGUAGAAGUGUCUACAUUACAAAACAGACAUAGUACAAGGGUCCAUUGAAUUAUUUUGCCUUUUAUAUUUCAAUCUUUCUUUCUCACUUAUAUUUUUAGCUCUUAUCUUAAGGGGUGUUUAGCCAUAAAAGUUUUAAUAUUUUUAGAAAGAUCAUGUAAGAGUAAAAAAUAAUAUUUAAAAAUUAAAAUUGUGUUUUGAUCAUAAAUAUAAAUUGGAGGCGUUUUUGAAUUACUUUUCAAAUUUCAAUUUUUUGAAAAGUAUUAUCACAAGAUCAUAUACAAAAAAAUUGAUUUUCACUAAGAGAGUUAAAAAAAUUGUAUUGCUUGAGAUUUGAAUUUAGAAUUUAAAGUGAAUUUUGAAUUUUCUAAACUAUUGAUCCUACUCUAAUUUAUUGUUUAGGGUAUUGAAAAAAAAAAACUAUAUAGCUAGACAUUAAUUCUGCUAAUAUAUGCAGUAACGAGAUGAGCCUCGCCAUAGUACCAAAUUUAUAUGAAUUUAUUUAUGAUUAAUUAGGAGUUGUUAGAUUAAAAAAGUGAACAAAAAUGAAAGAGUUGAAAAAAAAAAGAGAAAUAUGAAAAAAAGAGUGGCUAGCCAAGAUUUUGUAGUUAUAUAGUUUUCUUUAAACAGUCUAUAGCAUCAAUGAUUUAGGAAAUUUAAAAUUCACUUUAAAGUUCUAUAUUUAAUCUCAAGUAUUUUUUUUUUUUUGAUUAUGAGUAGCAUCAAUGAUUUAGGAAAUUUAAAAUUCACUUUAAAGUUCUAUAUUUAAUCUCAAGUAUAUUUUUUUUUUGAACUCUUUUAGGAGUCGUUUGGUACACUGAAUGUGAUAAAUAAGAAUAUCUAAGGUGGGAUAUUUCAUAAGAUUAUUUUAUUCAUCUCUCUCCGUGGGACAGUAAUCUCAUUAUCUUAAUAUAAAUGGUGGAAUAAAAUAAUUUUGAAAUUAAGUAAUACCUUAUAUCAAAUAUGGGAUAAAGUUAAUUCUAAAUUUUAUCCCAAAAUUAUUUUUUAUCCCUUCUACCAAACGAUUCCUUAGUGAAAAUCCACAAUCUUUUCAUAUCUGGGUUUGUGAAAAUAUUUCAGAUAAAUUAAAAUUUAAAAAAUAGCAAAAAUUAUUUCUAAUCUAAGUUAUUCCUAAAAACUCAAAAACACUUGCAAUUCGUAUUUAUGAUCAGACAUAACUUUAAUUUUUAAAUAAUAUUUUUUACUUUUAAAUAAUUUUUAAAAAAUAUUUACACUUUUCAUGACUAAACACUCCUUAAAAUAAAAACUAAAAUUUGAGUGGGGAAGAUAGAAAUAUAAAAUAAGGAGGCAAUAUUCAAAAAAAAAAAAAACAGGAAACAGAAGGAAAUGUGAGGAAAUAUUGGGAGAGGAACAUUUGCUAAUACAAUGGACCCCACAAGAACAUAUGUCAAAAGCAAAAAGACCCUUACAUAACUAUUGUUGGGUGAGCCUCACCCAUUUUAUAAUUUUCCAUCACCGAAACUACAGAUCAUAUGCUACUGUCAUUUGCACUUUUUCCCUUGAAAUAAAUAAUAUUUUAUAAGUUUAUAAUCAUUUUAUAAUAAUAUUUCAUGAGUUAUGGUCCUCUCCUAUAAGGUAGUUGUCCCAGUAGAUAUAAUUUCAAUUGCGAAAACUCAAAAUUCGAUGGGCGAAUUGCAAUUAAAUGACCUAAUUUGUCAUGUCAUUUGAGGACAAAAUGUUUGCAUGGAUUGUUCUUGUUUUAAAGUGGUUUUCAAUUUUUGCAAUCAAAAUAAUAUAGUUGAAUUUGUUUAAGUGUUUUAAGGGCACGCGAGUUAGAUUGAUUAUAAAAAUGAAAUAACAAUGAAAUGAAUCACAGCAACAAGAUGUAAUGAAUACAAAGCAAGAAAAUAAUUAAAUUAGAUCCUAAAAUUGGGCCUAGGUGGCUUUGGUAUUCUCUGUCCGAAAGCUGAUGAAUUGAGAAACUGAGAGCCUUUUCUUAAGAAGAGAAAGUAUGUAUGAACAAGUGUGUCUUGUAAAAACUUUCAGAGCCUCGAAUGUUUGAUUCCUAAGUGUGUCACUGUCUUCCAGUUGAGCAGUAGCACUUUGGUUGUCGGGUUGGAAAGAUUAUCUUAUCAUCAUUACUAGUUACUGUUUCUGUAUCAAGAUUCUACCUUUCUGAAGUUAGACAGGCCAUGUUAGUAAGGCCGGUACCAAUGUCGAGUAUUAUAGGAUCCCUCCAAAAUUGGACAUCACUCCGAGCUCGGUCUUUUGGAAGGGUUCUUCUGGUGCUCCCCAAUAGUCCCUUCAUAGUCAGACGCAUGUAUCACAUCUUUCAUGUCUUUUUUUUUUGCAACAAAUGUGAAUAUUAACAUCAACAAAACAGUCAUAUAAAAAUAAUUUUUUUUUAAUUUGAGUCUCAUAUGUCAUGUAAUAGUUGUAUGAGGUCUUUAAUAUUUGACGAAAUACAUAUACAGGCCCUUGAAAUAUUUCACUUUUCCCGUUUAGACACCUAAAUUAAGAAAGGUACCUAUUGAACCCUUUACUCCUUCAGAAAUGGUUUCAAUUGAGCCCAAUUCUCCGAUGUGGCAGUUUGCGUGUACUCACAUCUGGGAGGCGCGUGAAAUGUCAUGGAACCAGCUUAUGUGGCACCCAACGGAUCUUUUAUCCUCUUUUUAUACCCAAUUUCUUAAAAAAAAAAAACCCUAAUUCCCACUUUCUUCCUCUUUUUAUACUCAAUUCUUAAUAUCCACCAUUUUUGUCUCCUAAAUUCUCCUUCUCCUCUUAAAUUUCUUUUCAGCCUUUUCUCUUGCUUCGCUUAAACUCUCCUACUCUUAUUAAUUUCUUCUUCUUACUCGUUUUUAGUAGUAAUAUCCAAUUCAUCUUUUUCAUUGUCUUCAUCUUCUUUAAUUCCAAAAGGAGUAUGUUUAUGUGGGGUGAAAGCUGAAAUUAAGACCUCGUGGACACAACUCAACACUAGUGGGAGAUUCUUUUACUGCAAAACUUCAAAGGUAUUCAUCUUUUGCUGCUUCAUUGGACGAAAUGCAAUUACUUCGAUUAGUGGAUGCAAUUUUUUAAUUUAAUUUUUUCUUUAAACCUGUAGGCGAGAGGUGGAUGCAAUUACUUUGAUUGGUAUGAUGAUGAAAUGCCCCCUCAAGCAAAGAGGGUGAUGUGGGGUUUAUUAAAAAAAUUCAAAUCAUUUGAAGAAGAGAGGAAUCGAUCAAGAAAAUUUAAAGUGAUAUGCGUUGGGGCGAUUGUGAUUUUGGCUACAUGGAAUUUCUUCAAGAAAUGUUCUUAGAUUUUGACAAAUAUUGGCUUAGGUUUCUUAUAUAUAGGACUGUUUUGAUUUGGAUAAUUCUGAAAUAUAUUAGUUGUAUUGGGACUGUUUUGCUUUGGCUUUCUUGUUGUAGUGGGAUUGUUGUGUAUGAAACAAUUAAGAAGGAAUGAAGAUAAGUUGUGAAAUGUUACUCUCUUACUAUGUUUUGAUUUUUCUUUACUUUUGUAAUUGGUUUAGUUAGAUUAUUGUACUCUAUUUUUUUAGAGUUCAAAUAAUUCAUUUAAAUGAUUCAAAGCUGUCAAAUGUUUAACACAAAAGGAACUACCAUUCAAUAAUUAUAUAAAGCACAAGUGCAACUGAUCGACAUUUUAAACACAAUAAUCUACCAUUCAACUGCUCAAAAUGAGCUCCAACCAUACAUCAAGUGUUCAUCCAAAACUAAUCUAAACAAACCACAAAAAAUAGUUCAGAAUCUUUAAAAAUCCCAACAAAAUACCAAAGUAGCCAUACAACUAAUAACCAAACUAUACAUUGUGCUAAAAACACAAUUAAUUCAACAACUUCAGAUUCCUCCUGGUGCACUAGAACUUUCAAGUUGGCUUCUUUUUUUACUGACUCAUACUCUGCAAUUGAGAAGUUGUGACGACAUUCUUUUCCUUCCACUUCAUUCCUCGAGGCUUAUAACCAAUAUCAAUAUUUGUUUGAGUUACAUCUUUGUAAACACCCAGAGUGACAACUGUUUCACUUCUAGUUCCAGGUUGUAUAAAAUGAAGUAAAAUUAGAUUUGUCAAAAGAUAAUUAAAAAUUACAUGAAUUGAAGUUGUAAUUCACACUUACAUUUAAUGUUUUACUGCAACUCAUUUGAUCAGUGUAGAUACCAAAUCCUACUGUCUUAGACCUCUUUUGUCCUACUGAUGAUGUUGAUGCUCCAAUGGUCAUUUUUUCCUUAAGUUGCUGAUCAGAUACACUUUCUUUUCCUCUACUUCUGCCAGUGCCUCUUCCAGAUCCUUUGCCUUUGCCAGCUCUCCUACCUUUGUCAGUAUCUCUACCUCUACCUCUACCUCUACCUCUUCCAGCUGGCUGCACUCUUAUAACUGCUGAGGUAUCAACACACAUAGAACUGCUGAAGCUUGGUUGCUGGCUGAAGCUUGGUGGCCUGCUAGAGCUUGGUGGCCUGCUAGAUCUUGGUGGCUAGAUGAAGCUUGGUGGUUAGCUAAAGAUUGGUGGCCUGCUAAAGCUUGGUGUCUUGCUAGAGCUUGGUGGCUGUCUGAAGCUUGGUGGCUGCUAGAGCUUGGUGGCAUGCUAGAGCUUGGUGGUUGGGUAGAGCUUGGUGGCCUGCUAGAGCUUGGUGUCCUACUAGAUCUUGGUGGUUGACUGAAGCUUGGUGGCCUGCUAGAGCUUAGUGGCUGGCUAAAGCUUGGUGGCCUGCUAGAACUUGCUGCGUGGCUAGAGCUUCCAGGUUGUCCCAUUCCAUCUUAACAAUAAAGGAUAUUAAAUAUAUAUUAUAAAUAUCAGAAUUUAAUUAUUGAAUUAAAAGAUAUGAGUGCAUUACCUGAGCUUUACAGAGAGUUCUGCUAUGACCAAUUUGAUGACAUUUGGAGCAAGAAAUUUUCAGUCCUUUCCAGGAUAGCUUCCCAUAUUUCUUCUUAGGCUCAUUCUUCCUUUUUUUCUAUUCUUUCCUGGUCUGCUAGGCAUUCGUCUAGGCUCAUGAGGAUCAAUCACUACACCACUUGUGUUAGGCUACAUUUCCAUAUUAGAUAUUGGCUGAAGAAAGUAGUCAUAAGCCUUCAAGAAUGUAUCUUUCUUAUACCACUCUUCCACAUAAAAUUCAGGCUCUAUACCUUUAUGCUGAUAAGCCAAUACAGCAUGUUGACAUAGUAUGCCUCUCAAUUUCCAGCUUCUGCAAGUGCAAGUCCUUGUCCUAAUAUUAACUAUAUGCCUAUAAGGACCAUCUAAAAUUCCAUACCCAAUCUGUCCAUUGAACCUCACUGUGCAAUUUCUAGCCAUAUCUUUAUUUUCUUCAAGUACUAGCAAAGCCAUAAGAGAGAUGUCUGAAAUGCAGGUAUUAACAAACUUCCUCAUUUCAACAUUUCUAUCCAUUAUCUUAUGUCUAAUCUCCUCUAACAUACAGAUUAUAGAUUUAUGUCUAACAGCUAAAAUUCAUGAAUUAAAAGUCUCACACAUAUUAUUCUCAACAAUGUCACAUUUAGAAUACUCCCUAAAAUAUGCCCUGCACCAUGAUUUUUUUCAUAAUGUAAUAAGUCCUCACAAAUAUCCUUACCAAGUUGACUGAGUUUGCCCAUCUCAUCCAAAAACUUCACUUCAAAACUGGAUUUAGCACACCUCUAAAAUUAUUUUCUUCUUUCUUCUCCUCUCCAGAUCUGAUGUCAAUUGGACCAGAUGUAUCUUGCACACCACCUCAUUUCACAAUCUGGUAACAACUCAAGUAUAGUAGGUACAAGACCUUACAUCAGUAUAAAUACAAAAUAAAAACACAAAAUAUAUGAACAUGGAAUGUAUAGUAAAUAAAUAGAAGACAUCAAAAUUAAAUUUUAAAAAGUAGACUAACCUUUUGCAUAUCUGACAUGACAGACAGAUCAUGUUCAAUGCCUAAGUUCAAAUCUUGAAUCAAGUGGUUAAUGAAGAAACUCCAGCUAUUUUGUCUUUUGAUCAACCACUGCUCAGGCUAUUGGAUACAUUUGAUUAUUUCCAUUUCUCCCAACUGCAACUAACAAUUCACCCUUGCAAGAACCUUUCAAAAAACAACCAUCUAACCCAAUAAUUUUUCUGCACCCUGCCAGCCAGCCUCUCUUUAAUGCAUCAAAGCACAAAUAAAAAUAAAUAAAUAGAUUUUUUCCAAGUUGAGACUCUCUAUCUAUCCUCACCCAACAAGAACUGUCAGGAUUAAUAUGUUUUAUCAUGUCUGCAUAGUCACACAACCUUGAAAAUUCCAUCUUCCAAUCACCCAAGAAUUCUUUAAUGAUUCUAUGCUUUGCCUUGCUACAAAUAGUUUUUUCCACAUACAAACCCAAUUUUUUUCUCACCAAUUCCUGAAUUUCCCACAGUUUUAUAUAAGGUUGUAAAGUUAUUUCAUCUUUGAACUUACUUACAAUAAAUUUAGAUGUGCACAAUUUAUUUUUAUAGUAGUAGUGCAUACAUGUACAGGAUAGUAGUGCUUGACAACAGAGUCACCAGAAUGCUUAUCAAUACUAGCAAACAACAACCAUUUACAUUUCUUGCCCUUACACCUAACUCUAACUCUAUGUUUCUCAUUAGGCUUAAGCUUCAAUCUAACUUUGUAUUCAACAGCAUACUCAACCACAACCUUUCUAAAUUGCUUAGCAUUUUCAAAUAUCAUACCAAGCUCAAAUAUAGCCACAACACAAUCAGAAUCAAAUCUUACUUUUUUUACUUUUCCUUUUUGCUGAUAAAUCAACACCCCUGACAGUUUCAGGUUCCAGUCCAUCAGCACUAUCAUCACUAUCAACUUCAAAGCUAUCUAUAUACUUAUCAUCUCCCCCUAAUCUUCUACUGUAUCUAGCAGUCUUAUUCCUUCCAAUAUCUUCAAAUCCCCUAUCAACACCUGCUGAUCCAAGUUUUAUUUUUUCAUUUUGGACAGAUUUCUUUUGUUUCACACAGUUUCUCCUUUCAUUUCUAAGAGUUCUUAACUCUUCAUCAUCCUCAGAAUCGUCAUCUUCUGGUAUAUUAAACUCUUGAGAAUCAACACUACUAUCAAGAUCUAUUUCAGCCCCUUCUAGAUCUGAGAGUUCAUCUGCACCAGAUUCUAUAUCUAUGUUGUCAGUUUGGGUAGGUUCCUCAUGUAACCCUUCAACAUUAAUAUCAUGAACUGUUGAUAUGUUCUUACCCACAUUACUAUUUUCACCAACCACAUUACUACUUUGAUCACCUACUGUACCACAAAGAAAACCAGAUGGGACCUCAUCUUCUACCACUUCUACCUCAUCCACAACAUGGUUCAUAUACAAGUCUAAAAAGUCCCCAUCUUCUAGGUCUUCAACAAGACUUACCAAAGUCAAGUCAUUUUCUACUUCAAUAAAGACUUUCUUUUUAGGGUCUUUAAAGUAGAACCCACCAACAGUCAUAUACCCAAAUUCUUUAGUAUAAUAAAACAACUUGAAUAUAGAAAAGUGGUCUUUGUUCGUACUUACAUAUUCCACCUCACUUUCUCCUAUGUAGUGUGGACCAUAUUCUUCAUCAGAAACAAACUUGCCACCAUGGUGAAAAUGAGUUGUAAUAAUAAUAUUAGCCAUUAGAUUCCUGAAACAAAAUUCCAAAAAUACCUGACAAGUUAUGAAUAGUAAAAACCCUAAAAAAAUCCUAGCUUUUUUCGGAUAUUCCCAAACUACAAUUACUAACGUAAUAUACUAACAAAGAACUAAUAAAUCAUUUACAACAACAAGACAUGACAAAAAUGUGACAAUAUUGACAUUUGCAACAUACCUGAGUGCGAUUCAAACACAAAACAAUAACAAUUUUUUAGAUCCAACUCCAGAUUCUUUGCAACCAAUAAAGAAAUGUUGAAAUCAGUGUCAAACUUGAACUAAUCACUCAAAAACACUAUGUAACUUUUUAUUAUACAACAAACGAAGCAUAAAUUAGUAGUAUUAGGAGUGAAAUCGCAAUUUUAGGGUUUCUGAUAGAUUUAGGGAUGUGUAUGAGGGAUUUGACGUUAUAAGGAGGGAAACGAAGUAGAAAUUAUCUUUAUGUAUUAAUUAAAAAAAAGGUGGGGUGUAAAAUAUAAUUGGUUAUAAUUGGUCAAAAUCUACACGUAGACGAUGACUACAUACACGCACUUAACACGUUAAAAAAGAAGGCUUUAAAAAGGUGUCAUGUCGGACAAUUGAGCUCAGUUGAAACCAUUUAUGAAGGGGUAAAGGGUUCAAUAGGUAUCCGUCUUAGUUGAGGUGUCUAUACGGAAAAAGUGAAAUAGUUAAGGAAUCUCUCUAUAUAUAUAGCCUUAAUAUUUUGACAAAUUAACCUUUUGGGUCCCACCUUUCGGAGAAUUCUUUCUUAUUUUUUCCUCUUCAUUUUCUUUUCUGUCUCAUUGUCAUUUAACUUUUUUUUCUUCAACAAAUAAUGUUUUGUGCUUUUGCUCUUUCUUUUUGGGUUAUUUUUUACUUAUGGUUUUCUUUAUUUUUCUUCAUUUACCCUAUUUCUUUCCAAUUUUUUUUAGUACUCUUGAUACAAGUAAAUUGAAGGUUUUUCUUUUUCCUUUAAUUUUUUAUUUGUCAAUAUUUAUAUGCAAAUUAAAUGAUACUUACUUUUUUAUUUAUUUUUUUAGUUUAUUUUAAAAAUAUUAUUUCUUUGAUUUUUAGAUAGUAAGGUAAUAUUGUUUCCAUUAGUUAGUGUCUAGUUAGAUUUUGUAAUUAUUUUAAUCCGAAAUAUAAUUUUUGAUAUAUAUUUAAUGAUGUGACAGUUCCUAAAUUUCCAAGAAAAGUUAUUUUAAAAAUUAAAAUCAAUAGUUAGAUUUAUUUAGGACCAACUCAUUCUAAAUUCAAUUCAAUUCUUGAAAGACCGCCUGGAAAUAAUUUUUCUAUAUAGAAAAUUAUCUUAAUGAUUAAAAAAAAAGAUGAUUGCUCUUCCAUUUUUAACAUGCUAAGUAUUAUACAUGUCCUAAUAACAUUGAACCAUGAUAAAUAAUAUUAUAUAAAUUCAAUUAUAAAAAACAGAUUUAUCACUUAUCAAAUUUAAUUUUAAAUUUUCGAUAUUCAAAUUUUUCAACACCAACAAAAAGAGAGUAUAAUAAAAAAUAGAAAUUAUUGUCAUGAUUGAAUGGCCAAAAUUUUAUUUUCUUUUUUUUAACAAAUAUGAACAAAUAAUAGUUGGGAUGAAAAAAAAGAUUCAUUCUACUUAGUACCGAAACAGGAGGAAGAAAAAUCAAUUUGUGAAAAAAGACAAAGAAAGAAUAAAAAACAGUAAACAAAAAAGUAACCAAAAAAAAAGAGCAAAUAAUGUUUUGCCCCAAAAAAGUUAAUGAUCGAAAAAGUAAAAUAAAUAAAUGAAUAUAGAAAAUGAUCUGAUAGUGGGACCCCAAAGUCCAUUUGUCAAAAAAUUAAAGACCUCAUAUUAAAAUUUUACAUAUACAAACUAAAAGCAUCUCGUCUCAUCUCCCACUUCUAGAAGGUUGUACUACUAAUUAGGCCUCCAGGAAACAGAGAAGUGUGGUACAAAAAUUAAUUCGUCUGUCUGCUCUCUUUCUAUCCCUAUAAAAUUCAAUUCUCUCAAUAAUUUCGCAUGUGAUUUGCCCCACUGUGUCUGUACAUAGUAUGUCCUCCUACUUUGCAUCCUUGGAUGAAUACUGGACCUUUAAAUUGAAUCCAGUUCCUUGCUUUCCAGAUGUAAUACACCAUAGUCCCCCAUAAUGCAGCUGCCGCUUCCUUCUUAAACUUCUUCCAAUGCUCUCUUCUAAUCAGCUCAAAUGUAGUCUUCACAUCUCCUGCGGACAGUGAAAUAUUGGAUUAUUAUAUGAGUUCAGCUCUUACCAGUGCAGCAUAUAUAGCCACAGUCAACAAAUAUGUGGCUACUACGCUCUCCAUUGUAGAUGAUUGAAAUAGGCGGCAGUUGACAUUUUCUAUGUACAUGUUCAUAUGUAGUAAUCUUUCCUUCGUAAGCAAUCUGUUCAGCAAGGUAACCACUAGUAAUUGAAUACUUUAGCAGUAAGGAUGAAUUGCCCCCAUGCAUCAGUGUUUCAUUCUAUCCCUUAUAAAAUUUAUUUUCCUCCAACACCAGCUACUUGUUAUUUUCGUUUGUACUUUGGGUACACAGAAUCAGUAUAUGCAGAACAAUAACUUCAACUAGAGUUCAAGUAUAAACAAGAACACAAUGAAGUAUAUCAAAUACUCUCUAACACAAGAUCGAAAUGACCUUUUCAAGAGGUGUAUUUUAUUUUUUCAGAAAUUAAGAUGAAACAGAAAAUAGCCAAGUCAUCCGAAUUCACGAAGUUUCUUUAAGGAAAUAAUUUCCCUCACUGUACCCGAGGUUAUAGAAUUUUUCCUCCUAGAAUAAAAUGGCUAAAUAGAUCAAUUGUAGCGGUACCUCAAACGGUUGGAAUAUCUUCGAACGCACAGGACGUUUUGAUUGAUCACAUAGAGUAAUUUGGAAGACAAGAAGUAAUUUUGUAUUCUGAAAUUUUCAUAUCAAAACCUGUGGAUGAAAGCAGGUUUAUAUAGCCAUAACAUGUCUCUUCUGAAAAUAGGCAAUGGUUCACUCCAAAGGUUACACCUUUGCUGUAAGUUCAUGUCUGUUCAUCAAAGAUUGCAUCUUUUCCUGAAUAGUCAUCUCAUUUCAUGAAUCAGUGUGUCACUUCAUUGAAGGAUUACAUCCUUCUGAAGCAUCAUUUCGAACCAUUGCAACUCAGUUUAAAACAAUAUAUCAUUUCUGAAGCACCAGUUCAAAAACAAUGCAUCAGUUCACUUGAAACAGUGCAACUGUUACUGCAUCUAUAUAUAAAUGGAGAUCCUAAACACUGCAGAAAAAUUUUACUGCGUUUUUCCUUGGCAUUCUUCGGAAUUCAAAUAAAGUUUGUCCAAAAAAAUAGAUCUCAUCGAUCAAUCAUUAUCCAAAUCCAAAGCCAAGCGAGCAACGAUGAAAAUGGCGCAAGACAUCUAUUAUUUCUUGCCUCACUUGCCAUGUGGAAUAAAUGUUCUUGAUUAUAAAUACUUUCAAGUACUCUUCUUCCACCAAUGUGGGAGAAAGAGUAAAUUAUCUAAUUUGGAAGUACACUUUUCAUUUUAGUGUCUCCUUCCCCUCCAUCAUUUUACUCUCCAUUUUUUCAUUCACACUUCUUUCAUAUACUAUGAACCCAACACUACUAUCUGCUGGCUUCUGUGUCCAGAUAGUGUCAGUUUUGAUACAUAUUUCGGGUGCCUACUUCAGCCCCAAAGACUCCUUCUUUACAACUACUUUCCACAAAACCUUGCCUACCGAUGCCAAGUUCCAAUUCUCACACAAUAUUCAAACCACCCUGCUUUUUGGAGACACUUUAUCCCAAGCUACUAGUGCUACCUUCCUUUUCCCUCUAUAAUACCCCACAAGUAAUCUCUAAAUGUCUUAUCUACCUCCUUCACUAUACUAGGGGGAAGGAGAAAAACUGCAUUUUAUUCAUCCAUCUGUCAAGACCGGUUUUACCCCAUACUACCAAAGCGGCCAGCAAAAUUUUGACCAUACUGCUUUGAGCAAAUCUUCCUGAGCAAAAUAAAUGGUCUGAAAUUUCCACUUUCUUAGAGUGGGGCAAGCAAUACAAGAAUCUUGAUUGGAAGAUUAUAUCAAAAUUUUGAGACCUUUUCAUCAGUUGGUACCCUGUCGUAUGAAGCUCCCCACCUUACAAAUGUCAUCUUGAAAAAUAUUAUUGUUUAUGCCACAUUUUUUGGGCACUUACUUGAUUGUUCUUUCUUCUAAAUUAGGAGCUCCCAUGCUGAGGCUAGUGAGAACCUGCCAUUGAUGUUAGCCAACCCUAGUACUCUAUCUGGAGCUGCAUGGAAUAAGGUAAUGUGGUGUUGUGCUACCAUGCCAUAUUGCCAAGUGACAUUGUCAAGUGCCUCCUUAAGAAGGGAUAUUUCCGGCUUUUGCUCCAUCAGGUAAAUGACUAUAGAGCAUUCCCGUUUUUGUUCAGUUGUCAUACCAGAAUGAUGUUUUUACCUUUCCAGGCAGGCAUGCUAUAUUUUCCUUAACUUCAUGCUUUAAGUCACAGAGGGCUCUCCAGCCGUGUGACUGUUGCCCUGAUAAUUUUCAUGGAUCGUACAUGUGAAAUAUUUGGUUUGGGUGGAAAUGAAUUGACUCUCAUCUAAGAGAAAACACACUGCUAGUUAAUUAUAUUAUGUCGCAGCAUUAAUGGAGACACUCUUUAGAUGCCCGGUCCCCUUGCCAGCCACUAGAACUUGGGAGGGCAAUUUCUGUUGAUCCUUGACAAGCCAAAACAAUUUCCAAAUUAAUCAUUUAAAAAAAAAAAACAUUACAGAGCCAAGAAGCCAUCAUCUAACACAAGAUCUAGCAACACUUAGUAUAGAAAAUUCACAAUCUUUCAUUGAUAUAAACAAUUGAAAGAGCAAUUACACGAGAACAUCAAAUUAGACAUUAGAGUCAAUGAGUUCUCCAUUCACUAACUCUCUGUAAGCAGCAACAGGCCAGAUGAAGCCUCUCCAGACGAGCCUGUUAGCCAAUGGAACAUCAAUGAUGAUCUCCUUCAUUGUUGGCUUCUUCUCAUCUCUUAUUGCAAUCAAGUAGCUCCUUCCUACCCACCCAAUCCAUCCAGCAAUGUACAAGAAGAGGAUCCCAGGAGUGAUGAACUCACCCCAGUGCCUCUGGUCUCCACUCACUAUCAGGUGUGGCAGUCCAUCCGAUCCGCACAACAGUCCUUGUUUCGCAUAGUUGUCAAAUCUGCAAUGUCAAUAGGUGAGUGACUUUGUAAGUGAAAUAAAACAUGGACUCGAGUAUCAAGGAGUUGGAAUCAAAUGGAAUGUUCUAUUUUUCUAUGUUUACUUAGUCUAUGUCAAUGACUUAUGCAAGGAAAAGUUGAAAAUCUGUUACAAAAUAACUUGCCAUUCUUUCAUAAGCAAAUUUACUUCGUGCGCUCCUAUAGGGAGAAGGUGUUGAAGGUGGCCUCGUUUUCACACUUUUGGUUGGAUAAACGGAAGCCAUCAUCUAACACAAGAUCUAGCAACACUUAGUAUAGAAAAUUCACAAUCUUUCAUUGAUAUAAACAAUUGAAAGAGCAAUUACACGAGAACAUCAAAUUAGACAUUAGAGUCAAUGAGUUCUCCAUUCACUAACUCUCUGUAAGCAGCAACAGGCCAGAUGAAGCCUCUCCAGACGAGCCUGUUAGCCAAUGGAACAUCAAUGAUGAUCUCCUUCAUUGUUGGCUUCUUCUCAUCUCUUAUUGCAAUCAAGUAGCUCCUUCCUACCCACCCAAUCCAUCCAGCAAUGUACAAGAAGAGGAUCCCAGGAGUGAUGAACUCACCCCAGUGCCUCUGGUCUCCACUCACUAUCAGGUGUGGCAGUCCAUCCGAUCCGCACAACAGUCCUUGUUUCGCAUAGUUGUCAAAUCUGCAAUGUCAAUAGGUGAGUGACUUUGUAAGUGAAAUAAAACAUGGACUCGAGUAUCAAGGAGUUGGAAUCAAAUGGAAUGUUCUAUUUUUCUAUGUUUACUUAGUCUAUGUCAAUGACUUAUGCAAGGAAAAGUUGAAAAUCUGUUACAAAAUAACUUGCCAUUCUUUCAUAAGCAAAUUUACUUCGUGCGCUCCUAUAGGGAGAAGGUGUUGAAGGUGGCCUCGUUUUCACACUUUUGGUUGGAUAAACGGAGGACUAAACGAGUUUUUAUGAGCAUUAUCGGGUUCUAGAAUAUAUAUCAAAAAGGAAUUCUACAUUUUUAUAUUUCGGAGCUUUUUAAUUUUAAGCUUCUUAUCUUACUCGUAUGCUAUCAUAACUAUAAAAAUGUAAUGUCUGAGAUCACAAUUCUAAGAAUACUGAUAAGUGAGACUUGAGCACCUCCACCAAACCGGUAAGUGGGAUCACUGUUAUUCUCACCAAAAGAAGAAUCUAAGAAUACUAGUCUUUAAAGAAGAAAAAUUUGUACACAAUCAAAUACAUCCACAUAAAGUGUAAGAAUAUGAUUAAAUAGAAAAUGAUUACUAAGGACAAAGCAAGGAAAAUUUAGCAUAUAAGAAAGAAGGGAACUUUCAAGAUUCUUGCAAAAUUUAAAAGAAAAGGUAACAAAGACAAACCUGCGCUUAGUUUUCUCAAUAGUGGCAUUAAUAGCAAGUGCAGGAGCACUAUCAGGUGCAUACAGUUUCAAAGAAUUCUCAAGCUUCUUGAUCUGUUGCUUCUCCCUCUUAGCAAACUGCUUUGACUCCUUGCAAGGUGUGAGCCCAGAGAUGUCAGCAGAAGCUGGAAGCACUGGUGCUGACAAAAGAAUUGAAGACAAAGCAAGUGCUGCUGAGAAUGCUUUUAAUGAGGAAGAACUCUCAUCUGUCUUAGUAGAAGCAGGGGUCUGGUUUGAAGAGCAUACUAUGGUUGAAGUU
rnacentral:lncRNA from 1 species